rnacentral:lncRNA from 1 species
UUAAAUCACAUAGCUUUUUGAUGCAAUGCAACCGGGAGGAUUGCCCUGGCCUUCUCAAGCAGUCCGGGGGUGGUGCUCUUCUGUUCCCGGCGACCGGCGUGGUGGCACCGGUGAGCGCAACCGCUGAGGGUCCCGACGAAACCCGUAAAGUGAGGCGAAGCAUCGAAACCUUUCUGUUUCCCUUCUUUUUCCUCUCCGGUCAGGUGUAUGUCGGGCUACUCUUCUCCUCAUCCGCAAGCACCACAUGCGCCCGCCCCCUGCUCGACGGAAUGCCAACCCCAACGGGCGCAUACAAAUUGCUUCGGAGGGCGAGGAUGGCGUCGGCAUCAUCACUCCAGGUCCAGGACGCGCUGCUCCAGCACACACCGUCCAUCGUCCUGCCACCGGACGAGGUGGCUUUGACCUGGACGCGUGCUCUCCUGCCGCUGCUGCCGUGGCCUCUGGAACUGGAACUGAAGCCCUCGUCUCGUCGUCCGUAGUGCCUUUCAUCCUAUGGGUAACAAGGGCACGGAGGCAAGUUGUUUCCUCUGUUUUUGUUUCUUUUUUUCAUAUAUUCACCUAAUUAUUGUAGUCGUCAAUCUCAUUCUGCCAGCAUUACGAUUUUGGGUUUUUGGGCACAGUAGCACUUUCGUUUUUAUUUGACAAAUAUUAUCUAAUCAUGGACUAACUAAGUUUAAAAGAUUCAUCUCGCGAUUUUCAGGCAAACUGUGCAAUUAGUUUUUGUUUUCAUCUAUAUUUAAUACUCCACGCAUAUGCCCCAAGAUUCGAUGUGAUAGAGAAUUUUAAAUUUUUUUGGAAACUAAACAAGGCCUAAGAUGCAUACUUGUCUCAUGCGUCUGCACAGGGCCAAAAGGAUUUGGUCUGCCUUUUAACAUGUGGGAGUGGGGAGUGUGGGACCACAUUUUAGGUCCUUCUCAUGGCAACAGUUUGACUUUUCCUUGAAUGAAGUUUCGUCGUGCCUUCUCUAUCCUUGUCCAUUGUGUUGACUGCACCCUCCAAGUCUCCUUCAUCAAUUUGCAGAGACUGCACUGGAGCUACCAAAUAAAUCAGCAGUCUCUCUGCAAUCUAGCUAAGCUGCAGCACCUGCCUUCUGCAGCUUUGCAUCCUGAACCCCAGAAGCUGAGUUUGGGAAUAAUGGAGUAGGAGUAGCGGAAAAGCUGAUCCAAGCUGGGAUUCAAGGUACUUGCUCUUAACUCUGAUCCACCAGACUUUCUAAGUAAUAGAUGAAAGCAGAGCACUUCAUCCGUUCCUGCUUGCUUAUUCACUAACCACGCGCUGCUUUGUUCUGACUCAGUCACUCUUCUCAGUGAGGAACACAUACAGAUGAAGGUUUGAACUGUUAAUCAGCACAAGUUUCAUACUGCUGCUGAUUUAGCACUUUUAAGAAACCUUCAAUCCUCUAAUUUUAAGCUGUGAGAAACAUCUUUCUAAGGCUUAUUGCCUUCUGAAAAUAGCGAUCUCCUCGAUCACUUGGCAUAUUUUGUGUUAUUUACUGUUUGCGGUGCUAGUGAAAUUCUGAUUUCCUUCCAUUUAGUUACAUUCUUUUCUCAAACAAUUUAAUUAAUUUUGAAUGUGGCACUCUGAUUCCAAGGCAAACCCACUUUUCAGAAUUGAGAAGUUUUCCUGUGUGGUGCAUGGUAGGCCUACACCUUCACCACACUGUUCCUGAUGUUCUCACUGGAGGCCGACCUACAUAUGGAUGAUGUAGCCAUGUAGGUACUGUUAGCUGUCAACAUAUCUUGAUAGCUUCUUAAUGAAAUACUGGCAUGGAUCAUUAACUGCGAAACAUCAACGUGCAGGCAGUGAGAGUCAGAUAACCUGCUGUCCUGUUUUUCUGAGUUGCCAAAACUGCAACCAGAUAAUUUGUCACACAACAAUAUAAGGUGGUGCUAUUUCUCUAGGCAUGGAUUCAGGGACAUCCAGGAGUCAGUACGGGAGAAGCCAAAUGGGACAUGGGAGGAGUAUAACUGCGGUAGGGCUGCAUAAAAUGAAUAUGCAUUGUUCUUUUCAACUGAUAUGUUACAGAUUUCUUAUUUAUGAGUGGAAUUCUCAGUAGGAAUUGGCAUAAUCUGUAAACUUGGCAAGAGGCAAAUGGGACAUGGGAGGAGUAUAACUGUGGUGGGGGGUGGGGGUUAGUUUUUUUAAAGGUUUAGUAAUACUUAGUUCAUUUGCAAACCAAAAUACUUGCUCUUUACCUUUUAUUAGGUGCAGAAGCAUCUAAAAUUCAGACUGUACAUGUUCAUGAAUAAAACUAGUCUAACACAUGGAAUUUGUAGUGAAAAUAAUAUUCAGGUUUAUAUUUGAAAGUAUUUGAGCAUUUUUUUUUCUAUCGAAUAAGUAGGAGAGCUGUGUGUCAUUACAUUAUGAAGAAGAUUUCUUUUGAGCGAAUUUCACAAAACUACAUAUAUUUCUGCAAUAUAUCAAUAAACUACUUAUCAGAAACUCCCUUUGCGCAAUUUAUCAGAAUGUACACUUAUCCAUCAUCCGUUUUAAAGCUAAAUGCAUCAUAUUAUAUUCUUUUAUGUGGCAGGCAUUUGUUGUGGCUCCUUCAUUUUCCGUCUGUGUUUUGACUAGAUCAUCCAACAGUUGUUGGCUUGUUUGUUCCUCCCUUGCUAAUAUCCUGGAGAAAAUAUGCCAUUACAUUUGUUGUUAAGCAAGAAGAUGACAGGAAACACUGCACUUGGAGCUACCAAAAGCAGCAUGGUUUUCCAGAUAUAGCAAAAGUGUAUCCAGAAAACAGACCAUCUAGCUAAGUUGCACCUAUCUUCUGUAGCUCUGCAUCAUGAACACCAAGCUGCGAUUUCGGCAGCACAGUGGAGCACAGUUGCUUGCAUCCACAUCAAACCACAGAUAGUGAGCAAAUAUUAGUUCAUCGUGACUGCUAGCUCUGCAACCAUUGAAGCAUGGAUCUCGUGACCGGAGCAAUCAGCAACCUCAUUCUCAAGCUGGGGGAGCUGCUUAAAGAGGAAUACAGGCUACAGAAGGGCUUGAGGAAGCGAGUCGAGUCUCUCCAGAAAGAGCUUGAGAGCAUGAGCGCCGUCCUCUGCAAGGUGGCCCAGCUGACGCCGGACCAGCUUGAUGUUCAGGUCAGGGCAUGGGCCCAACAAGUCAGGAUGGUGUCAUAUAACAUGGAGGACAUCCUCGACGCCUUCCUGGUUCACGUGGAGGACCAGGAGCCUGCUACCUCGAACAGAUUCAAACGCCUCACGGAGAAGACGGCCAAGCUGUUCAACAAGAGCAAGGCACGCCGUAUGAUUUCUGAUGCCAUCAAAGAUAUCAUGAAGCAACUCCAGGAGGUGGCUGACCGGCGUGCCAGGUACAUGGAUGGUGAUAUUAUGGCUAAGUCUACAGUAACAAUUGUUGAUCCUCGCUUAUCAGCUCUUUAUAAUGACGUGACAAUGCUUGUUGGCAUUGACAAGGCAAGUGAUGACCUCAUAUCUAUGCUCUCAUCCCAGUGUGAUGAUGGGAAAUAUGUGAACAAGGUUAAGAAAGUCUCUGUUGUUGGACCUGGUGGAAUUGGCAAGACCACUCUGGUCAAAGCAGUGUAUGAGAAACUUAAAAUUGAUUUCGGUUGCGUAGCCUUUGUUCCUGUUGGACGGAAUCCUGAUAUUAAUAAAGUUUUGAAGGAUGUUCUCAUUGAUCUUGACAAGCAACAUUACAUGACACAUUUAAAUAUGAUGAUACUAGAUGAAAGGCAGCUAAUUGAUGAGCUUCACGGAUUUCUCAAGUGCAAAAGGUACACAUCGCCCACCCAACACUUGGCGAGCAUUAUUUUAUUUGAUUAGUUGUACAGUUACUUCUUUAUUUUAUUUUUAUGAUCCUCUAUGAUCAUACAUCUUAUGUUUAAGUCAACUAUACUCAAGUGAUGCCUUUACAAUGUUUUGUGGAAUUAAAUCAGCAUGUGGAUAGGCCCUCUGUAUAGAUUAUACAUGAAGUAAACACUAGCUAGUGCUCAUAUAUUCACCAUAUAAGUCCAUAUAUCCAUGCUCGGACAGUCAAAUAACUACCUGUGUAUAUAUCAGAAGUAAUACUUGGCUAAUUAAGAGAACCAUAAAAGAAUGGAUUGGUUAACUCAAGUAAAUACACUUUGUAAUAGAUUGAUCCGUAAUUUUAAAUACAAUUAUAGGCCAUCUCUGUGGUGCUGCGUAUAAUGCAUCUGUGGUAGAUCUCUAAUCUGUGGUGAUAUUCCUGUGCUGAUGAGGUUUACCAUUAUUUUUCAAAAAGGAAAAGAAAAGUAUGGAUUCACGGAUCACAUGAGAGUGUUAGUUUAUAUAUACAAGUAGUUGACUGUAAACAUAAAAACAUCAGUUCAAAAGAAAUAUUUUUGUUAAUGUUAGCUAUACAAUGGAAUCUAUUACAUUCUGAGCAUUUAUUAGCCUAUAGUACAAUUAAGAUUUAAUAUACUAUAAAGCAACUUAAUUUUCAACUAAAGCAAGACAUGAGCAAUAUUUAUUUUCCCCAAUGGCUUUUAUGGAGUAUGAACUAGUCACUUUGCUGCUUGGUUAGGAAAAGUCCAUCUGAAAAUGUACAACAUGCCUAGAUUUAUGAUUGUUAAUAACAGAACUGUAUGAAUUAAUUGUCCAAUAGUUUUACUGACUCAGGGAUCUUUGCGCUCUCAUGCAUAGGUACUUCAUUGUUAUUGAUGACAUAUGGGAGACACGAUCUUGGGAAACAAUCAAACUGGCUCUUAUUGAGAACAAUUGUGGAAGUAGAGUAGUGGCAACUACUCGUAACUCCAGAGUUGCCAAAGUCGAUGAAGUCUACAAUAUAAAACCACUUUCGUAUGUUGAAUCUAGAAAGUUACUCUACACAAGAAUAUUUGGUGCUGAUGCUGAUUAUCUUGAUAAAUUACCAGACAAGUUAGUAUCUGAUAAGAUAUUAAAAAGAUGUGGUGGUGUACCAUUAGCUAUCAUCACAAUGGCUAAUUUGUUGGUGGGUAAACGAUUGGAGGAAUGGCCUCAAGUGCACAACUCUAUUGGGUUUAGCCAUAAAGAUAACCAUCACACUGAGAGUACAAUGAGAAUAUUGUCUUUUAGUUACUAUGAUUUGCCUUCUCAUCUAAAGACCUGCUUAUUAUAUCUAAGUAUGUUUCCAGAUGAUUCCCCUAUCAGUAAAGAUCCUUUGAUAUGGAAAUGGAUAGCAGAAGGUUUUGUUCAUAAGGAGAGAGGGUGUGGGUUAUUUGAGGUUGGAGAGCGACACUUUGAUGAGCUCAAAAAUAGAAGCAUAAUCCAGGCAGUGGAGUUUGAAGAAGAAGAAGGCAUCAUACAAGGUUGUCGAGUUCAUGAUAUGGUACUUGAUCUCAUCCGUUCGUUGUCAAGUGACGAGAAGUUUCUCUCAGUAUUAGAUGGAUUAGAUAGUGAAGACACAUUAACAGAAAGCAGUCCACGCAGGCUAGCCCACCAAAAGAGAACUGUGGAUCAUAACCCUCAAGCUAGAAAUACGGGCAUGCCACAUCUGAGGUCAUUUGUUGCAUGGUAUUGUGCUAUUGACAAGAUGGUCCCACUUUUGAGCUUCCGAGUAUUACGUGUGCUAGCUAUUGAGUAUUGCGAGUUUAAGGAAGGUUACCAACUUCAGCAUCUCGGGAAUUUACUUCACUUAAGGUAUCUUGGACUAAUAGAGACAAACAUCCGUGUGCUACCAAAAGAAAUAGGGCAUUUAAGGUUUUUGCAGACACUCUUGUUGAACGGAACGGGGAUAGAAGAACUGCCAUCGAGCCUCCGGUUGCUGCCACAAUUAAUGUGCCUACGUGCUGACUGGAAGACGAGAGUACCAAAUUGGAUAGGGAUGCUUACAUCCCUGGAGGACCUACGGAUAUACCGUGGUGCUGACGACAGGUCUGCGAGGCGAUUUGUGAAGGAACUGGGCAACUUAACAGGACUGCGAGUCCUCCGGGCUGGCAUUGCUGUGUUGGAUGAGAACAUGGAGAGAGAUUUGGUGAAGUCUCUAUGCAAUCUGAAGGAGAUCCAGUAUAUACAUGUAGAAAUUAUAUAUCCAGCUAUUGAUGAUACCAUGGAUGCUUCGCCCUGGAUGAGUAAAGUGAGCUGGGAGGCAGAAGGCUUUGUGUCCCCUCCAAAGCUCCGACGUCUGCUACUAGGAUGCAUUAUGUUUCCUACACUGCCAUCAUGGAUUAUCAAUCCCUCCUGUCUUCUGUCCCACUUGUGUGUUCAUGUAGUUACCAUCGAAGAGCAGGAUCUCAAAGUCAUUGGUAAGAUGCCAGGGCUCCAUGAUCUCCUUCUUCCAACAAGCUCCACGGUGACAAUCAGUAACAUUGCCGAAGGUGGGUAUUUCAAGAAGCUGAGGUCCUGUUCGAUGCUUUCUUCAAUGGUCCAGUUCCUGCGAAAUGAGGACUCCAGCGUUUCAUUUCAUAUGUGGAAUGGGGAGGAUGCUGUGCCCUUUGGUACUAGAAAGGAUGGCGAAGGCAGUGUAGCACCUAUCGUGAUGCCAUGCCUUGAAUUUCUCGAAUUCUUUUUCUUCGUCCAGACCAUGAAGGAUUGCAACGGUUACUGUGGCAGUAUUGGUUUGGAAUACCUCACCGCACUUAAGAAAGUCACCGUCAGAAUUGGCUGUCAGGGUGCCUCUGUGGUGGAGGUGGAGGAAGCAGAGGCUGCACUGAGACACGCUGUACGGAUCCAUCCCAACCAUCCCACCCUCGAGCUAAUCAGACAUUUUGAGGACAAGAUGAUCCUAGCAUCCGAUCAACAAGAAGUGGAGGCCACCCGGUGCUAGCAAGAGCUGGAUUUUUUUUUUGUUGCUGUUUUAGUUCCUAAAAAAAAACUCUGUUUGUGAGUAUCAUUAACCUCUGCUUCUGGAAACCAUUCAACUCUGUUUUUAUACCACAUGCUGUGACAACAGAGUUUGGUGGUCCGUAUCAGGGUGCUACAAAUCAUGGAUAUCUGUCAUACUAAUUCUGUUUUUUUUACCAUUUUAAAGUGUUUUGAUUUGAGUUCCGUUAUUUCCAUUUGGACAGAUUACAGAUGAUGAAUUUAGAUUAUUAUUCUUUCAUUAAGAACUAGCUACAGAUGCUUAUGGCCGAAGAAGCCGAGUAUGUUGCAAUCGUCAAUUUCUGGAAAAAUUUGAGGGUUGUUUAGCUUUCUGAAAAGAAAUUUUUGGGUCAUGGAAUUUAUACCAGAUCCUCUGUUCAACAUCCAUCCAUUCGGAGAUGUUGGGCCAGCAAACAUAGUUAUUUAGUGUUGCUCAAAAGAAAAUAUAUAGUUAGUAAUAAAAAGCCAGAUUCCUGGGCUCCACCAGGCAGUCUCACCUGCAAAGCAUCAUCAGCCGUUGUGCUGAUAUGUUCUUCCCGCUCCAUUCCAUUUCAAGAACUGAUCAGGUCUAGAAAGUCGCCUUAUUUUGUCCUAUACUGUUAGGGUAGGUAUCAUGCAAAGCAAGCGCUAUAUAAUAUAUACAUUGGGCCAUAGGAUCCAAAAGGACCUGAAAAACAAAGAUAUUUGUAGAUCUCAUGGAUCUCUUCUCGUUGAUCAUUUGGAGGACACAAGUUUCAAAGAAAGAGAAUGGCUCGUCAAGAUUGUACAUCAUCAUCGUCAAGAUUGAACAACACUAAAAAAAAUGGUGCGCUGAUGCGUCAUCAUCGUCCACCACUUCUGUUUUCUAUUCACAACAACUGACAAAGAAUGUACAUUAGCCCUGAAGUUUGUCUCAGUAACCAGAAUAUGUCAUACGAUAUGUACAAAUAGAAGAUAGUACAUGAGAGAAUGUGACCGAGUCAAGAAAAUACAUGAGAAUUUGCAAGUAUUCAUUGGUGUCACUAGCUCCAGUAUCCUGUCCAUAUUGAUGUUCUCUAUGAAGUGUGAACCAGUCAAACUAUUGUAUGCUACUACACAUUACAUGUCCUUUUGUUUAUACCAUGAAGAUCACAUGCCAAAUUGAAAGAAAAGGACGAAAUUGCCGAUAUUUGUGUACAAAAAUCAGGCACUGAAUAGCAUCAAUUUAGGUAUGAAGAUUUGUUGCUUGCUUGAACUUCUUUGUGCUGUGUGACAGUGCUGAUGGUUUCCAUGAACAUUUCACCGGAGAAGCAUUUUCCCUUUUCAUGGUGGCCUUUGUCGUCAUCAUUCUAGUCUUGGUUCACUCCGUUUUUGCCCUUGUUUGCCCUGAAGAAAGCAUAGCACCCAGUCCGCUUUCUGCGCCAAAACAAAUAAAGAAGAGCUGAUUAGAUCAGUGAUUAUUAGACUAGCAAGAUCCUGUCAUGAACUGAUUUAGAUAUCCUCUAGUGUUUCUAAGUGGUAAUGUAAUGAUCGUAUUAGCAAUAGCAGAAUGAGACAUAAAGCAUUGCUGCUUGGGCUUCAGGUGGCAAGAAGUCAGCCUUAUGCUUUGCGUGACAGAAAGUGAGGCCAAAGUAGGCCAUAUGAACAGAUAGGUCCCAAAAGAGAUGAAUUGAUCCAACGGACACUUACUCAAAUGAUGCUACAAAGAUGCUAAUUUCAUAUUAAACAACUUAACUACCGUUGCAGGUGAUUAUCUGAUCAUCUUAUUUCAGGAAUAGGAUCAUCUGACUUGAAGAAGUAAUGUCACAUGAGCAAAGUAAUCGCGGUUUUUUUUUAUGAUAUUAAGCUAUAAUCAUCAGUAGCAGAAGGAUGGCUCAGAUCUGUCAGCUACAGCACUACCCUUAGCUACCGUGUUUGAGUGUGUUCACCAACCCAUAUCCCAUAUUUCAAGGGAUAACAACUAGCACUAAUCACAUUUGCCCUUAGUAACCCUUGGGUUGGAAUUAAAAUCUAGUUAGGCUGCAAUCGUUUGGCAUGGAAUGGUGAGCAAAAACCAUUCCUGACAUGAAUGCUAGUGUGGUUUAUAUAGACAAUCCUCACCAAGAACUAUUCCUUGUCAGGAAUAGACUGAAACGAACAAGCCCUUAAUGAGCUCAUAAAAAAUUAUCUGGCAAUGCCACGACUUCAAGAAAAUUAACGCCCAGUUAUGAAAUCUUCUAGUAAAACCAUCAAGAAUUUCUGGGACUAGAGGUAGGAGAAGACGACCACAGAAAGCUCCAUGCGAAGUCAGUCCUGCUACGUGCUCCCUUUUGGAGUUCAUAUACCAAGAGAGAAGAAACCUAAAGCAGCAGGAAGGAAUUGACAGCAAAGCUGGAUUGUGAUGCAACAAGAAGUGACUUCAAGCGACGACUCUGCCUGCCGUGUUGACCGGUUUUAUCUCCGUUCCAUGCUUGCUGACUUCACAAUAGGAAAUAAUCGUGGCAUGCUUAGCAGCCUAAACCGGCCGUCAGGCCGUGCAGUGUUUUUCACAUCAGACGUAUUCAGUGACAAAUUAGAUGGCUGUGCUUCCUUUGAUCCAGUCUAAUCCUACCAUCUCCAUCCUUGGAACCGUAUAGGUGGUUCAGUGUGUACCUCUGACUUCAGUAGCUGCCAUUUUUUUUUCCAAAAGUGUGUUCUUUGUUUUUUUGUUUUGUUUUGGACGUUCUAGAAGACUACUAGAAGUCCAGAACAGCUGCUUGUCUCCUCCAUCAGUUGAAAAAAGUUUGUUUGCUCCAAUUUUUUUAUUAGAUUAGAAAAUAAAUUUCUUCUAGAACAGAUUUUUGUCUUCUCUUGCAUCCGUUGAAAAAGGUUCCUUUUAUCUUUAUCUGUCUAUCUUUAAUGCCAAAGCCAAAAUUUCCUCCGUUUUCUGUUUCUCAAGGAAAACUGAACAAUACGGAGGUUGAAACAUGCUGGUUCCUUCCUGAACUUAUUUCAGCUUAUUUCUUUCUACUACUCUUUAAAACCGCUCUAAGAGAUAAUCGGAACUAGCAGCCAAGAAGAUGCAGCAACCUGAAUUUCACUGAAAUUGCCCAACCCAAGAAUCUAAGAACCACCGAAACAAAUUUGUGUAAUUUUCAUUUCAAUAAUGAAUUGAUGAAUCUGUAAAGAAAUUACCAAAAAAAAUCUGCCAGACCACCUGAUGUAGUACUGUUAAACUAAAACUUGAUGAUGAACUAAUUUAAAAGUUGAAGGGAAAGGAGUUCGUUACCUGCUCCAACUCCUAACCGGCGCUCUGGGAUUGGCACCGCCAUUGACGACAUUCCUGACGCUGGCGGCGCUGCUGCUGUUGCUAUUGCUGCUGCCGGUGCUGCUGGUCCGGCUGCUGCUCCCGGCCUCGCUGAACUCGCUCUUGGUCCACCACUCCUCCUCCUGCGCCGCGGCCGCCGGCACCAGCACCGGCACCGGCACCGCCUCCUUCUUCCCCUGCUUCUUCUUCUUCUUCUUCUUGCCGUCGUCGGGCUUGGGCGAGACCUUCUUCUUCUUGCCGCCGCCCAUGGAGAGCGGGAGGAAGAGCUUGAUGAGCAAGCCGGUGUCGAGGCUGACGCUGCGUUCCAGGUUCCGGCUCCGCUGCUUCCGCAUCAUCGUCCUCUGCUUCCUCCCCUGCUUCUUCUUGCCGCCGCCGUCCUCGGCGUCCGUCGCCGCCGCGACGACGGCGGGCUCGUCCUUCUUCUCCUGCGCACCCGCGGGGACGGGGACGGCGACAGCAGCGCGGGUUGUGUGGUGGUGCCUCCCGGCGGUGGUAGGCGGCGGUGGAGGAGAGGGAGACGGAGGAGCGCGAGGCGGGGACGGGGGCGACGGGUGGUGCUCGACGAUGUCGCGGAGCGAGAGCUCGUAUGCGGACUCGGGGAGGCCCCGGACGAGGUCGAGCAUCUCGCGGCGGUACCCCGCGAUGGCCUGCGCCCGCGACGGCGAGCUCCCCGCCGACGCCGGGUACUGCCGGUGGUGGUGGUGGUGCGACUGCGACUGCGCCUGCGUCCACAGCUGCGGCGACGGCGUGCCCGACCCGGACCCAGACCCGCCAGAGCUGCAGUAGUUCGUCUCCGGCGAGGCCUGCAGCGACGCCUGCAGCCACCGCACCUCCUCCUCCUCCUCGUCCCCGUACCGCGGCGCCGGUAUCGGGUUGCUCGCCGGCGGCCGCGGCGGUAGUCCCCCGCGCGCCGGCGACGCCGAGCCUGCCUGGAAGCUGAACUCCGGCCGCCGAUGAUGCAUGGCCUGGCCAGCCAAGAACGAAGCCGAUCGGUCGGUCGGUUCCCGUCAGACUACAGAGAGAGAGAGAUGUGUGUGUUUCCGUGCCGCGCGUGGGGGGGAGGGGAAGGUGGAGGCGGGGAAGAUGAGACGGUUGGGUAAUAACAACGGCGGCGUCGAGUUGAGUCGAGUCGAGCGGCAGCGGAAGCAGAGGAGGGUGGUGGUGAGGUGAGCGGAAAGCGAUGGCGGGCGACGUGCGGGGUGGGUGCGCGGAGUCGUCGCGGGGAUUUAAAUUCGCGCUAAUUUUCGGCGGCUUUAAAUUCGCGUACCGGGAGGGAUUCAGGGAUGGGAAGAACACGGCACGACGUGGCGGCUUUUUAUUAUCAUUUCCGGUGCAGUUAGGGUCUGUUUAGUGUAGUGAGCUACUAUUUUUUCUGUCAAAUAUUUUUUUAAAACAUAUUUAUAGGUGAAGCUAUUUUUCUUCUUAUCUCACGAAGAUAUUAGUUAGGAUGGAACUUAAAAAAAAAAGUAGCUUAUUCUAACUCUCUCUCAUUUAUUUUUUUUCAUCCAUGCAUAAAGCUGUUGAUGAAGCUAUUUCGUUAAAUAAUUUUUUUGAAACAGCUUAACUUUACUUAGAAAAUUACUCAUAAAGUUCUUUUCUAACUGAGUUGUAUCAAACAAAGGCUAAUUAAAUGAAGACAUGGCACGGUUCACACUUUACGCCGUGGGACUCUGUCUGUCUCCUUGUCAAACAGAGUCACGUGUUGGUGCGAGAGAUACAACUAGUGAUGAUCCAGGUGACACGUGUUGGACACAGAAUAUAAUCGGAAUGCCAAGAAUUCAGAAACACAUCUUGUUUUUACUUCUACACGUUUUUGGUGACAAGAAGACGCAAGUGACUGAGAUAUGAUCUUGGUGUGUGACACGUGUUAAUAUGUUAUACACCGGAUUUAUUUAUCAAGUGUUUGAAGAGCUAGGGGUAGCUACCAUUCACGGUCGUCGAUUGUCAUUGUAGCCCGGGCGAUCGCAUGCAUAUACGUAUGCAUGUUGGGUUUGGUUGCCUGAGAUGGGCAGGAUCGUUGCUGGCAGAUCACAAGCUGUAUGUCAGGUCACAAACCGAAAAAAAUAUCACUCUCUUAGAGCAAUUCCAAGAGCUUUGCUAAAAUUAGUAGUCAAAGUUCAUUGUUUAGCCAUUUUGUAAAAUAGAAAACUUCUUAAAAAAGAAGAAGUCCGAAACAACUUUGCUAUUUUACAAAAUCGGAUAGCUUGUCAGUGGUUGGCGAAAAUCAAGGAAUAGCCAACUUUCUAUUUUACAAAAUCAGAUAACACAUCUGUUGGAGUCUACUUUUUGCUAUACAAAUUCUAAAAUAGCCUCCACAACGAGAAUAGCCAAACUCUCGGAAUUGCUCUUAUGAAUGCUCGCAUACAUGCAUACUCUAUUAUCAGAGUUUUCGCCAAAAUAAAGCGCCCCUAGAUUUUGACAUCGGCGAAGUCAGUAUAACCGUCACAUUGUUAACGUACAUGUACAUCAUCUGUCGCUAAAUGAAAGGCCUAAUUACCGAGUGCUAAAUUAUUUGUAGAGUGCAAUAUUUCGAGCAGUCGACAAACAAGCUCUUUGUUGAGUGUUAAAAAAAAAUUUGUCGACUUUUUUUUUACGCUCGGCAAAGAACUUGUUUACCGAGUGUUUUUUUUGCACUCGGCAAACAACUACUUUGCCAAGUAUUUCUUUGUGGCACUCGACAAAUAGUUUGUUUGCCGAGUGUUUUUUUUUUGCACUCAACAAAUAGCUGCUUUGCCGAGUGUUUUUUUUUUUGCACUCGGCAAAGAGUUGCUUCAAAGCAUAUUUUGAUGCAAUAAAUUAACUCAAAUGAAAAGGUUUUCUACUAUAAAGUUAUAUAACUUUUCAAGAUCUACAACUUUUAUUUUAGUUAUUUUUUCAUUCGAUAAAGUGAUAGUAGCGUUGUUCACAAUACAUCUCUCUCCUAAGUUUCAUGAAACUUCAAUAGAGAUAUAUAAGAUUUGUGAACAAUGUUAGAACUACCAUGUCGCAUGAACAAAUGACCAAAUAACUAAAAUAAACUUUGUAGAUCUUGAAAAGUUAUAGAAUUUUGUAGUUGACAAUUAUUUCAUUUGAGUUCAUCUUGUCAUGCAAAACUACGUUUGAAUUUCAAAAUUUUAAAACUUGAAUUUUUCAAACGACCUCGAAUGGAAAAACAACAUAAAUAAAAAAUGUAGAUCUCAAAAAAUUAUGAAACUUGUAGUUAAAAACUUUUUCAUUUGAGUUCAUCUUGUCAUGCAAAACUACAUUUGAAUUUCUCUUCGUUAUUCUUUUGGUUUUUUUGGUUUUUUAUUUUGCAUAGUGUUUUUUACCGAGUAUUUGUUUAGCACUAAACAAAGUGCUCUUUACCGUUAAAAUUUUGGCAACUGCUCUUUGUUUUUAGGUUCUUUUUGGUUUUUUAUUUUGCAGAGUGUUUUUUAUUGAGUGUUUGUUUAAUACUCAGCAAAGAGCUCUUUAGCGUCAAAAUUUUGACAAGUACUCUUUGCCGAGUGUCGAGUGUAUUUGAGGUUUUGCCAAGUACUGAAUCCGGUAGUGUAAAUUCCUAAAACAGAAACUAAAAAACUGCAAGCACCAUGCAAGGUCAAAGAAAGCUUGUACACUGAUAAGUGCAUCCAAAAAUGUUGAAAGCUCUUCUACUUAUAUAUCUUAUGUAAUUCAACAAAACUUUUAUCACAUAACUGUGUAUAUACACUAUGUUAUAAAUAUUUUGACCAUUCUUAAUUAAGGCGUAGAACCGUGCCUUUUAGUACAAAAUGAAAGUUCCAGCAGUUUAUGCAGAAACUACAGUAAAAAGUUCUAUACAACCUGCAACAUACUAGCGGUCGAUUAUUGUAACAUCCCAAAAAUUCGCAUUCAAAAAUCACUCGCAUUAAAAAUUAUUUUCAAAAUAUAUUUUAGAAACUAUAAAAUAAUUUGAGCUCUAUAGUAUCUCCAUCUAAUCCAUCCAUAUUUAUUUUUCGCGCACAAAUAAUAGCAAGUACCAGCAAGCUUACAUGCGAGAAAACAUAGCAGUGCACCUACACGAAUAUAUAUCUCAUGCAUGCAUGCAGGACAUGCCACCGACCAUUUGCAUGCACCUGCAUGCAAGGACACGGUGAUUAGGCACCGUCCAUUUGCAUGCAACGUGCAUGCAAAUGGGACAUCGUCCUUUGCAUGAAAAUUAGGCACCGUCCACCGUCCUGUCGUCCUGUGUAGCCAUGCACUACAGUAGCAAUUCUAAUGGCCACGAGCUGAGCACUCUGGCCUAUAAAAAGGCACUCUCGGGUGCUCACUCUCACCACCCGAGAAACACGUUCACUCACUCACUCACUCACUCACUCACUCACUCACUCACUCACUCACUCGCUCUCACUUCGCGUAUACCGUAUACGGCCAUACGCACAAGCCGAGCUCGACUGUCGUCGCAAGACGAGGUGAGCAGCUCAUGAGCAUCUCCUUGCUCUUCUCUGUCUUUCUGUAGUAUUUUUCUGUAUUUUUCCAUGUAUUUGUCUGUACCGGUUCACUGCCAAGAACUCCACGAAUAGAACCAUGACAUACAGAAGAGUUCUAAUGACCCCUGCUAAUUUCUCUCUAACCAUGCAUGUGUGGGCCAAGCAUUAACUCCAAAUAGUACAUGCAUGCAACAUGCACUACCAGCCAAACAAAUGCCCACGUGAAGCAUACAUUCCUUAAUCAUCGUUAGCCUUUUUCGCAUGAUUAAAUUCCGACCAUUUCACAAAUGCCACAUGCUAACUCUGAUUUUAAUAAUUCUUUUUCCUAAAUUCAUUUAAAAUCAUGAUCUACCUCCCAUAUUAAUUUCAUGAUUUUUGGAGCUCAUUUGAAUUUAUAUGAUUAUUUAUCUGUGCCUGUUGUCUUUGUCGUUCGUCACGUAUUUUAGCUGACGGAGUGAACGAGCCGGAAAACGAGAACGUUGGAGACGAGUACCGCGAGUUUGACGCCGAGGACUCGGACUGUCAGCAAGAGUUUGCUGAGGACGCCGACGGAGGCAAGUCCAACCGAUCCCCUUUGAUGCAUAUUGAUCCUAUUUUUAAACACAACCCGUAGAAGCCGUUUUAAAUAUUGCAUGUACGAUAUAUGUACGAAGUAUUUUUGCUGCUUAGUUAAAACCUGUUGAAUAGCCAUCCUUGAAUUGAUAUUACCCGGUAAUUGUCUUGUUCGAACCUAGGAACAAAUAAUAUGCUACGACAGAAAUAUUAUUAUUUAGUAUGCUUAGGACUUGUUACUCAUCCUGGAUACUCAUCGCUAUAUUUUCCCAAAUAUAAUGAUUUUAAAAGUAAAAGGUGUGAGUGGUGAAAAUAAAUUGUGGGUAUUGUGAAAGGGUUAAUGAACAAGUUACAGAUGUGAUUACUAUGGAGAUGGGGCGGAUGGGAUCUCUUUUGGGGAUGCCCUGGUGUUGUGGCUUAUACCUUGCGGGGUUAAGCGUGAAGAUAUCCGCCUUGUCUCGAUUAAGGACUGAGUUGAUGAUUCAUCUUGCCUAACUCAUUUAUCGUACAACCACUCGCCUUGCAUGGGAAAGGCUUAGUCUAAAUCCCUCUAGUUAGUAUGGCAAUCACCUGGAGGCAGGUGUGCAACGGGACACUAAGUGAUGUAUGUGAAAUUGUGGAAUUGUAUGAAAAGAGCUUUGUGAAUUAUUGUGGUAUCAUGAGAUGUGGCCUUAGUGUUCCCGUGGUGAGCGCCAUUACUUAGCUAUGGAGGGUAAUGACUUUGAUGGAUCUGUGCUUGCACGACGGUGUAAGUUAUGGUAUCCUACUUGUGGGAAAAGUGUACAACGUCUGCAGAGUGUAAAUCUAUCUGGAUAGCCGUGUCCGCGGUCUCGGACGGGUUAUGGUUCGGUUUCAACAACUAGAUGGAUUGGGAUGAGUGAAAACAUGAGAGUGAGUGUGAUUUUAGAAAUAAAUGGUUGACUGCCAUUGUGUUGUGGGAACAAGGGUUCAACAACACUUAAAAUUGUGAUCAAACCCCCAUUUUUUUAGAAAUACUAUCAUAUGUGGAAAAAGAGGUCUUUUACAACAGUAUUUGUGAAAUGAAACCUUGCAUGUGUAAAAAGAUAACUUUAUGCAAAUAGAACUAAGCCUCAUCCUUGAUUUAUCCAUAUGCAUAUAUACUGUUAUCCCCUUCCGUAGGGUAAGGUUGGAUUUGCUGAGUACUUUGUACUCACCCUUGCUUUAUUAAACAGAGGAAGAUCCGGACUUCGAUCCCGAAGUGGCGUUCGAGUAAGGUCGUGUCUGCACCCAACUAAGCCUGUGGCAUUGGGACUCGUCAGAUGUUCGAUGGCGAUAUCGUUUGUUUCUAGGUCCUUUGGACCUAUGUUGUAUUUUGGUGUCUUAUUAUUAUAGCAUGCCUUCAUUGUCCACGCUUAUCGAGACUACUGCGCUGAAACUUAUCUGAUGUAAUAAAUGUGUUACUAGCCUCCUGGGACUAGUAUUGUAUCACAUUUGAGUUCCUGGUUUACCAGGGGCGCUUCAGGUGGUAUCAAAGUCGUAGUUGGCUGUAGGACGCGACCUUAGGCUUUUCUGGACCAGUAUUUUACUAAAUAAAUAUAUUUUACAAAAGUUCUUACCCUCUUCCCUCUAUUUGAAAAAAAUAUUUACUCUCAUCUAUUUCUCUCAGAUGGCAGAAGGUGUUUGGACCAGCAGUUACUGUCUAAGUGUAGAAGGCUUUCCCAAGCUCUUGUAUGCUACCAUGCAGAAACUUGGAAUCAAGGAUCGUCCAGAAUAUGAAGGCAGAGAAUAUGAAGAGCAUGAGACCGAGCGGUGUGAAGUUACCGUCUAUAUUGGGAAAAGUGAGGACUUCCCUAACAUAGCUGAAGCUUGGAGUAUGACUGCGACCGGAUUUCGGUUUGCAGAUACAUAUCAAGCCGUCGCCCGCAAAGCCUUGAGGUACCUAUGCCAGAUCUACGAGAAGCCCAUCACCCGUACACCCAUGAGGUUCUUUCCACCCGACGAAAAAGAUCGACCAGUUUGGAGGACCCGCAUGGAGCUCUUGCAAGGACGUUACUCACUUGAAGAUGACCCAACUGUGGUAUUCAUGACCACAUACCUACUUGCUCUAGAUAAGCAAUACGAUGAGCAGGCCUCAGAGUUAAGGAAGUGCAUCCAUCGUGCGGAGGAAGCCGAGAUCAUAGUUAGAAAGCUCCAUGUGCAGCUUGCGGAAGCUCAGGCCCAAGCAGCUGCAGCCGAGAGUCGUGAAACUGCCAUUGCUGAAGUCUUGAAGGCAGCUGAAGACCGCCAUGCUCAGGAGUUGAAGGAUGCCUACCUUAUCACUAGGAUCAAAAGAAGGAUGUUAGCAGAGGAAGACCAAGAGCCCAUAGUCCUAAAAGGUAUCCCAAUCAUGUCCCUAAAAACAAAAAGCAAGAUGGACAUAGAAGGGCCAUCAGCUCCCCCACCCACAGAAGCCUCUCAUGAAGCUUUAGAGUUGGAGCCCAGUAAGGAAGAAGGAUUUCCCCUCCUCACCCAGCCACCACCAAAGGAAGACGGUGACCCACCUCUUAGUCCAAAAGAAGAACCACAAAUGCCGGAAGCAUGAUCCUCCUCAACACCAAGGGAAUGAAGCCGUUCUGUCCGAAGAAGUUGAAGAAUAGUAGCACCUAGUUCCUCCUUAUGUCUUGGGGAAGUGAAGUUUACUUCACUUUUGUUCAACCCCCCCAAAGUAGAUGAACCGUAUUGUAGUACGCUUAUUUCCUCCAUUACUAUGUUGUAAACCACCCUCUUAUUCAAAAUAUAUAUUUGUGCUUGUUGGUUGUGCUAAAUAAUUGAGUGCUCUAUGUUGUUCCCCUACGGGAUAGCAAGUGUUAAAACUUGCACCUUUUUAAAAUAUAACGCCGUAACAAAAAAAACAACAUCACUCAAUAGAUCUAACCCUUAUCUAAUGCUUUCUCAUCUUAACCAACAGAUGCCUCCCAAACCAGCUACCCGCUCUCAACCAAGUGGUCGUGCAGCUAGUAGGCAAAGCCAAAAUCCAAAUGGAAGUCAAGCCAAUGCAAAUGUUGACGGUAUUCAUGAAGAUGAAGUGAGUCAGACUAGGAACCAUAAUGAAGGAGAUGACUUGCCCCCUCCUCCAGUAAUUGACUUAGUACAAGUCAUGGCAACUCAGACUCGCCUUCUGGAGACCUUGGCUCAAGGCAUGAACCGCCCUAGGAACAACCGUGGAGCCGGAGUCCAAGACAAGAUGACUGAGUUCAUGAGGCUUAAGCCACCCACCUUUACUGGAUCUGACAACCCCAUGGAAGCAGAUGAUUGGCUUAAGGUGAUUGAAAGGAAGUUGGACACAAUCCACUGCGAUGGAAGGGAUAGAGUUCUGCUAGCAUCUCAUCAGCUGACAGGAAUUGCCCUUUCUUGGUGGGAAGCCUAUAGUGGAGCUGUGGACAAUGCCAACACGAUCACAUGGGAAGAAUUUGUGGAUGAAUUCCGCCGGUACCACAUUCCAGAUGGAAUCAUGAAGCUGAAGGCUAAUGAAUUUCGCAACUUGAAGCAAGGAAAUAAAACCCUGAGUGAAUACAUCUUCCAAUUCACUGAGUUGUCUCGCUAUGCCCCAGAAUUGGUCAACACUGAUGCUAAGAAGCAGACAAAGUUCAUAGAAGGAUUGACCUGUGAGCUUAGAACCCUCAUGACCCCACAGAUCUAUCCAGACUUCAACACUUUGAUGAACAGGACCAUUCUGACUGAUGUGGCCAAGACUGAAGAAAAGAAAGAAAACAAGCGCAAGUUUCUGGAGCGCAAGGUUCAAGAUGGUGCUAGAUCCCAGAGGCUGAAAACCUUCAGCCAACCAAGCCAGCGGACUCAAGCCCCAAUGCAGUUUCGCUCUCCUGCUAGUGUCUCCAAUAACCAAAUGCAGUCAUCAUAUCAACCCAAGACAACCUAUCAGAAUCAAACUUAUGGCAAGACUCAACAGAACAGCAUUGGUCAAGUCACAAACAAUGUUAGGACUUGCUUUAAUUGCCAUGAGACUGGACACUACAUCGCCAACUGUCCCUACAAGAACAACCCACCAGCAGUAUCCACUCAGUCCCACACUGUUAAUGGACCAAGACCUGCAGUGUCUGGAGUCAACCGUGGUUUCCCUCGCAACAAUAGCAACACCAACAAUAAUAGCCAGAUGAUGAAGCAACCUCAACAAUCCUAUGGUAGAGCCCGUGUCAACCAUAUUCAUGCUCAGGAUGCUCAGACUGCUUCAGGAGUGGUACUUGGUGAGUUCUUAGUCGAUUCAGUACUUGCAACAGUAUUAUUUGAUUCUGGAGCAUCACAUUCAUUCAUAUCAUCAAGUUUUGUUGAGAAGCAUCAAAUACCCACAGUACUACUAAAGUUACCCCUAAUAACCCGAACACCUGGGUCUGACAUCAAAUGUCAUCUAGGUUGUUCAAAUGUAAGGAUCAUUCUAAGUGGGGUAGUUUUCUUAGCAGACUUAGUAGUGCUCAAGUCUAAAGGAAUAGAUGUUAUCCUUGGAAUGGAUUGGUUAACCAGACAUAAUGGAAUUAUUAGUUGUGCAACCAAGGAAGUAUCAUUAGUUGACCAUGAAGGGAUUAAAGUGAAAUGCCAAACCCGAGGGUCUAAAGUUAAUCCAAUGGUCUUCAACUUGGAUGCAAGGACCAUAGAGGAAGUACCAAUAGUGCAAGAAUACCCUGAUGUAUUCCCUGAGGAACUAUCUGGAAUGCCACCAGACAGGGAUAUAGAGUUCAUCAUUGAUCUUAUCCCCGGGACUGCCCCCAUAGCCAAGAGACCUUACAGAAUGGCUCCGGCAGAGUUAGCUGAACUGAAAGAGCAGCUAAGAGACUUGCAGCAGAAAGGUUAUAUUAGACCUAGUUCUUCACCAUGGGGAGCCCCAGUCUUGUUUGUAAAGAAGAAAGAUGGAAGUAUGAGGAUGUGUGUGGAUUAUAGGUCCCUAAAUGAAGUCACCAUCAAGAAUAAGUAUCCCCUGCCAAGGAUAGAUGACCUUUUUGAUCAGCUUAAAGGAGCCAAGUAUUUCUCUAAGAUUGAUUUGAGAUCGGGUUAUCACCAGCUCAAGAUCAAGAAUAGUGAUGUUCCCAAGAUAGCUUUUGUAACCAGAUAUGGACAAUAUGAGUUUACAGUGAUGUCCUUUGGGUUAACUAAUGCCCCUGCCUAUUUCAUGAACCUCAUGAAUAAGGUAUUCAUGGAAGAGUUAGAUAAGUUUGUUGUAGUCUUCAUUGAUGACAUACUUAUCUACUCUAAGAGUGCUGAAGAACAUGGGCAACACUUGAGAGUAGUGUUGGAAAAGCUAAGAAGACACAAGUUGUAUGCUAAAUUCAGCAAGUGUGAAUUUUGGCUUGAGAAGGUUGCAUUUCUAGGCCACAUCUUGACAGCUGAAGGAGUUGCAGUCGACCCUGAGAAAGUAGAAGCUGUCUCCCAUUGGCAGCAACCCACCAAUGUGAGUGAGGUUAGAAGUUUUCUUGGAUUAGCUGGAUAUUAUCGAAGGUUUAUAGAAGGAUUUUCCAAGAUAGCCAGACCCAUGACAGAGCUUCUUAGGAAGGAUACGAAAUUCACUUGGAUAGAAUCAUGUGAGAAGAGUUUCCAAGAGUUGAAGAAGAGACUGACAACAGCACCAGUGUUAACUUUGCCAGACAUUCACCAAGAUUUCAUCAUAUACUGUGAUGCAUCAAGACAAGGUUUAGGAUGUGUUCUCAUGCAAGGAGGAAAAGUGGUUGCUUAUGCAUCCCGUCAGCUUAGACCUCAUGAGCAAAAUUACCCUACCCAUGAUUUGGAGUUAGCAGCAAUAGUACAUGCUCUCAAGAUUUGGAGGCACUACCUCAUUGGAAACAAGUGUGAAAUCUACACUGAUCACAAGAGUUUGAAGUACAUCUUCACACAGUCAGACUUGAACCUAAGGCAAAGAAGAUGGUUAGAAUUAAUCAAGGACUAUAACCUUGAGAUUCAUUACCACCCAGGAAAGGCCAACGUGGUAGCAGAUGCCCUAAGCAGAAGGUCAUAUGGUCAGCAGUUGGUGCCUAAGAACACUCACCUACAAGAAGAGAUAGCACGGUUGAACAUGCAUAUAGUACGCCAACCUCAAAAUGGCAGUCUGAUGGUGCAGCCAACUCUUGUGGAAGAAAUCAAGCAGACACAACAUAAGGAUAAGGAUCUAAUGAAGAUUCGUGAGCAAACUGGAGAAAAUAAAGCUCCAUACUUUAGAGUGGAUAACAAAGGAGUAUUGUGGUAUAAAAACAGGAUUUGUGUGCCCAAGGAGGGAAAGUUUCAAGAAUUAAUCCUUGAUGAAGCCCAUAACUCAGCUUAUUCUAUCCACCCUGGUGCCACCAAGAUGUAUAUGGACUUAAAAGAAAGAUAUUGGUGGAAUGGCAUGAAAGCUGAUGUGGCACGAUUUGUUGCACAAUGUGAUGUAUGCCAAAGGGUUAAAGCAGAGCAUCAGAAACCAGCAGGCUUGCUCCAGCCAUUGCCUAUUCCUGUUUGGAAAUGGGAUGAGAUAGGCAUGGAUUUUGUGAAUGGAUUACCCAAAACUCUGAAAGGAAAUGAUUCAAUAUGGGUAAUAGUGGACCGCCUUACCAAGGUUGCUCACUUCAUACCUGUGCGCACCAAGUAUAGUGGAGACAAAUUGGCCCAGUUAUAUGUGGAUAACAUAGUCAAAUUGCAUGGUGUGCCAAGUAGGAUUGUAUCUGACCGAGGUACCCAAUUUACCUCUAAGUUCUGGAAAAGUUUGCAUGAAGCUAUGGGAACCAAUCUAGAUUUUAGCUCAGCUUAUCAUCCUCAAACAGAUGGCCAGACUGAAAGAGUAAAUCAGAUUAUGGAAGAUAUGCUAAGAGCAUGUGUGCUCACAUAUGGUAAAGAUUGGGAGAAAAGCCUAACUUAUGCAGAGUUCUCCUAUAAUAACAGUUACCAAGCUAGUUUGGGCAUGUCACCUUUUGAGGCUCUGUAUGGAAGAAAAUGUAGAACCCCAUUGAUGUGGUCAGAAGUUGGAGAACGAACCUUGCUUGGACCAGCCCUUAUAAAAGAAGCAGAAGAUCGUGUAGCUGAAAUCAGAGAAAAAUUGAAAGAGGCACAAUCACGUCAAAAGAGCUAUUCUGAUAAAAGAAGGAGAGUUAAGUUUUGCAGUUGGAGAUUUUGUGUAUGUCAAAGUCUCUCCUAUUCGAGGAACUCGAAGGUUCCAAGUUAGAGGCAAGCUAGCACCACGGUAUAUUGGACCAUAUCAAGUAUUACAGAGGAUUGGAGCUGUAGCCUAUCGUGUUCGGCUACCUGAAGAAAUGUCAGAUAUACACAAUGUGUUUCAUGUCUCCCAAUUGAAGAAAUGUCUCAGAGUACCAGAGGAACAAAUAUCGCCAGAUACAGUUAAUUUACAAGAUGACCUAAGAUAUCAAGAAGUGCCAAUAAAAAUCCUAGAUACAGUCACCAAGCAAACUCGAACGACAACAGUCUGAAUUUGUCGUGUUCAAUGGAGUAGACACACUGAAGCGGAAGCAACAUGCCUUGAGAAAAGAGUUUCCCCAUCUAUUUAGGACCCAGCCGAAUUUCGAGGACGAGAUUUCUUUUAAGUGGGGUAGGUUUGUAACAUCCCAAAAAUUCGCAUUCAAAAAUCACUCGCAUUAAAAAUUAUUUUCAAAAUAUAUUUCAGAAACUAUAAAAUAAUUUGAGCUCUAUAGUAUCUCCAUCUAAUCCAUCCAUAUUUAUUUUUCGCGCACAAAUAAUAGCAAGUACCAGCAAGCUUACAUGCGAGAAAACAUAGCAGUGCACCUACACGAAUAUAUAUCUCAUGCAUGCAUGCAGGACAUGCCACCGACCAUUUGCAUGCACCUGCAUGCAAGGACACGGUGAUUAGGCACCGUCCAUUUGCAUGCAACGUGCAUGCAAAUGGGACAUCGUCCUUUGCAUGAAAAUUAGGCACCGUCCACCGUCCUGUCGUCCUGUGUAGCCAUGCACUACAGUAGCAAUUCUAAUGGCCACGAGCUGAGCACUCUGGCCUAUAAAAAGGCACUCUCGGGUGCUCACUCUCACCACCCGAGAAACACGUUCACUCACUCACUCACUCACUCACUCACUCGCUCUCACUUCGCGUAUACCGUAUACGACCAUACGCACAAGCCGAGCUCGACUGUCGUCGCAAGACGAGGUGAGCAGCUCAUGAGCAUCUCCUUGCUCUUCUCUGUCUUUCUGUAGUAUUUUUCUGUAUUUUUCCAUAUAUUUGUCUGUACCGGUUCACUGCCAAGAACUCCACGAAUAGAACCAUGACAUACAGAAGAGUUCUAAUGACCCCUGCUAAUUUCUCUCUAACCAUGCAUGUGUGGGCCAAGCAUUAACUCCAAAUAGUACAUGCAUGCAUGCAACAUGCACUACCAGCCAAACAAAUGCCCACGUAAAGCAUCCAUUCCUUAAUCAUCGUUAGACUUUUUCGCAUGAUUAAAUUCCGACCAUUUCACAAAUGCCACAUGCUAACUCUGAUUUUAAUAAUUCUUUUUCCUAAAUUCAUCUAAAAUCAUGAUCUACCUCCUAUAUUAAUUUCAUGAUUUUUAGAGCUCAUUUGAAUUUAUAUGAUUAUUUAUCUGUGCCUGUUGUCUGUGUCGUUCGUCACGUAUUUUAGCUGACGGAGUGAACGAGCCGGAAAACGAGAACGUUGGAGACGAGUACCGCGAGUUUGACGCCGAGGACUCGGACUGUCAGCAAGAGUUUGCUGAGGACGCCGACGGAGGCAAGUCCAACCGAUCCCCUUUGAUGCAUAUUGAUCCUAUUUUUAAACACAACCCGUAGAAGCCGUUUUAAAUAUUGCUUGUACGAUAUAUGUACGAAGUAUUUUUGCUGCUUAGUUAAAACCUGUUGAAUAGCCAUCCUUGAAUUGAUAUUACCCGGUAAUUGUCUUGUUCGAACCUAGGAACAAAUAAUAUGCUACGACAGAAAUAUUAUUAUUUAGUAUGCUUAGGACUUGUUACUCAUUCUGGAUACUCAUCGCUAUAUUUUCCCAAAUAUAAUGAUUUUAAAAGUAAAAGGUGUGAGUGGUGAAAAUAAAUUGUGGGUAUUGUGAAAGGGUUAAUGAACAAGUUACAGAUGUGUUUACUAUAGAGAUGGGGCGGAUGGGAUCUCUUUUGGGAUGCCCUGGUGUUGUGGCUUAUACCUUGCGGGGUUAAGCGUGAAGAUAUCCGCCUUGUCUCGAUUAAGGACUGAGUUGAUGAUUCAUCUUGCCUAACUCAUUUAUCGUACAACCACUCGCCUUGCAUGGGAAAGGCUUAGUCUAAAUCCCUCUAGUUAGUAUGACAAUCACCUGGAGGCAGGUGUGCAACGAGACACUAAGUGAUGUAUGUGAAAUUGUGGAAUUGUAUGAAAAGAGCUUUGUGAAUUAUUGUGGUAUCAUGAGAUGUGGCCUUAGUGUUCCCGUGGUGAGCGCCAUUACUUAGCUAUGGAGGGUAAUGACUUUGAUGGAUCUGUGCUUGCACGACGGUGUAAGUUAUGGUAUCCUACUUGUGGGAAAAGUGUACAACCUCUGCAGAGUGUAAAUCUAUCUGGAUAGCCGUGUCCGCGGUCUCGGACGGGUUAUGGUUCGGUUUCAACAACUAGAUGGAUUGGGAUGAGUGAAAACAUGAGAGUGAGUGUGAUUUUGGAAAUAAAUGGUUGACUGCCAUUGUGUUGUGGGAACAAGGGUUCAACAACACUUAAAAUUGUGAUCAAACCCCCAUUUUUUUAGAAAUACUAUCAUAUGUGGAAAAAGAGGUCUUUUACAACAGUAUUUGUGAAAUGAAACCUUGCAUGUGUAAAAAGAUAGCUUUAUGCAAAUAGAACUAAGCCUCAUCCUUGAUUUAUCCAUAUGCAUAUAUACUGUUAUCCCCUUCCGUAGGGUAAGGUUGGAUUUGCUGAGUACUUUGUACUCACCCUUGCUUUAUUAAACAGAGGAAGAUCCGGACUUCGAUCCCGAAGUGGCGUUCGAGUAAGGUCGUGUCUGCACCCAACUAAGCCUGUGGCAUUGGGACUCGUCAGAUGUUCGAUGGCGAUAUCGUUUGUUUCUGGGUCCUUUGGACCUAUGUUGUAUUUUGGUGUUUAUUAUUAUAGCGUGCCUUCAUUGUCCACGCUUAUCGAGACUACUGCGCUGAAACUUAUCUGAUGUAAUAAAUGUGUUACUAGCCUCCUGGGACUAGUAUUGUAUCACAUUUGAGUUCCUGGUUUACCAGGGGCGCUUCAAUUAUAUAACUCCUUAAUUAACUAUAAAAAUAUGUAUUGUAGCCCUUUAAAUAUAUUUUGCAAUACUAUUUUUAGUUCAAAUAAUCAAAAGAUUGUUUUGCAGUGUUACAUACUUUAAGAGCUAUAACAUAAAUGUUCAACGAAACAUAGUAUAAUUGUCCAAAAGGACUGGUUUAUAGAUUUAUAUUACAAUUGUUACAGUAAUAUAAUGUUGCGAGUUGAACUAGCUAAAGUUUGACUAAAAUUAUAGUAAAUAGUAUUAUUAGCAUCUAUGUCUCUACAUAAAUUUAUUAUGAAAAUAUAUUAUAUAACUAACCCAAUGAUACUUAUUUUACAUGAUUAAUGUUAAAUUUAGUCAAAUUUUAGAUAAUCCGACUCCUUAAAAAACGAGAAUUACAUUCUUACGUGGAGGGAGAGAAUAUGCAGCAGUGACUGAUUGUAUGACGUCGCCACGUGUAGCUUGGACAAAUCCUGUGAAACAGGAGCUUGUGUGUUUUGCUGUGAUGACUUGUGUUGGUGGAUGAUACUGAUCAAAAUGCCACGGUCUUUAUUAAUGACAAAAUGCCAAAAUUCGGAAACCCAGGUAGUUCUGGCAUGCCAUUCAGUAGGACAAGUGUUGUAGCAUUUCAUUAUUGUAUAUAUGUCGUACUUAGUACAUGUCUUAAAGUUGAGAUGGACCGUAGGAAUGUAGGGAGAGGGGGUGGCUUCGAGAACGGGAUUCUUGCCCAAUUAUUCCUUUUCUCUCCCUCUGUUCCCAACCCAAGUGAUGAACGAUGAUAUACUGUACAGCAUGAGUUAUCCAUGUUUGAGAUUCUAUUAUGGGUAACUAUGUCAUUUGUUUUGUGUGUGUCUCUUCGAUCAGGCCACAUUUUGCGUACUACCAGCCUUUAUACUAAAAUAUUGAAGCUGCUUUAGACAACGACACAGUCUCCAAAAUAUAACUUUGACUUCUUAUUUUUUAUAAAAAUAUUUAUCAAAAAGUAAUAUAUGUAUAUUUUUUGAAAGUAUUUUUCAAGAUAAAUUUAUUCAUAUGGUUUUUACAUUACCAAACUCAACAACUUAAAAGUUAUUCAUGAUUUAUAUUUCCAAUAUUUGACUCAGACUUUAUCCAAAAUGACUUGACUUUUGAGUAUGGAGGGAGUCCGCAUAGUGCUAACUCAAAUAGCCAAUUGCAUAAAGAUACUACAUCCAUUUUUUAAGGUCAACUACAUCCAUUUUAAAUUUUACAACGUUUUGUUUUUGAAUACAUAACUUUUUCUAUAUGCUUAGAUAUAUAUUAUUAUGUCUAGAUAUAUACUAGUUAAAACAAUGUAUUUAGAAAAGUUAAAACAUCUUAUAAUUUAUAACGAAGGGAGUAACAUUUAUCAUAAUAAAAAUAAUAUCAUUUGAUCAUCGUGGAAUAUAUUUUUCAACGUAUAUAUCUACCUGGAGUCAUAUGUACUAAUAAUAUUUUGUAUAAAUUUAAUUAAAUUUAAAAUAUUAUGAAUUUAGCUAAACCUAAAGUUCUUUCGUGGGACAGAGGUAUAGAAAGAUGCUCAGUGCACCUAUUCAUUAGAGAGAAAAAAACCUCGUAACUCAUCGUACAAGAUUUUUCGUAGAAAACAUUUCAAUACGUUAUCGUAAUUUAACCAUGCAUUUUAAUAUUUUAUGUAUUUUGCAACUGGUCAAAAGACUCUGUAUCUUUGUCCAAAAGGACAACUGGACAAGAGAGAUAUAUAUAAAUGCAUAGAUAUAUGCCAAUAAUUCAGCCACGCGUGUGUGAUGUAAGUUUGUACAAAUCUUGUGAAUAUACUCCCUCCGUCUUAAAUACUGCUAUUUCUAGGAGAAAAUUUUGUCCACAAAUACUGCUAUUUCUACUAGCAUACUCAGUACACCAGCCCAUUUAAUUAUCCUCAGAACUUGCGUGGUUCACCAACUCAUUUAAUUUCUUCUAGGGAGUAGUACUUUGGCGCAUGGUAAUUGGUUGAGUCUAUUCAGUUGACAUUAAAUGCAGCUCGUUGGAACAAGAGAAUCAUGGCUUAACGUGCAUGAUUAAAUGGUGGAAUCUAAAUUAAUUAAGGGUAGAAUGGUCUUUUGUUUGUCACACUAAUCUGUCUGAAAUCUGCUAGAAAUAGCAGCAAGUGCCUUGUGUGUCUGGACUCUCCGGAGGUUUGUAGCUAGAACACCCAAUUCCUAAUUAACAUCCCGAUUGAGACGACAUCUACUUUUGUGAAAUUAAUCAAAAUCUUCCUUGAACAAACUCUGAAUUCUUUACUUCAACUGUCAUUUUUUUGCUGCAUCACUAUCCACACAAAUGUAUAUAUAUGUGUGUGUUUGAUUGAUUGAGACUUGAGAGGGGAUGAUCAAAUUAAAGAGAGGAUACAGCAGCAAAAGUCGUGGGCUUCUAGAUGAAGAAAUAAUCGUGGGUUAUGCAGGUGGUUGAGGUGCCGAGGGCGCCACAUGCAUGCAUGGUCGAUCGCCACACUCUCUGGAACGGAACGGGCUUUUGAAAAACGGGGCACCACCACUGAUUUCCUGUUGGGGCCGACAGGUUUAUUUCCCUUUCCUGCCGAUUCAUUUCUAGCUGGCUUUUUCUUAGCUUAGCUUUCAAGUUUCAAUUUACAGCGAUAGAUUUUUCACGCGUUUGUUUUCUAUCCCAAAAUUAUUGUUGCUACUUUAUUUAUUAGAAAAAAAUAUAUCAGUUUGUUUGUUUGUUUUUUUUUUGUGUAUGUGUGGCGCCGGCGGAUCUUAUUUUGACGCGCGCUCCGAAUUGGGCCGAUGUUGAUGGCCACCAUUAAAGAAAUGAAAUACGUACUCCAUAGAUUAAUUAAGUGAUGUGUUUUCUUAUGAAUUAUUCCUAAUUAACUGACACGUGCUGCUAGUUUUUUUUUCCUCCUAUACGAUUCUGUGGAUUUGAGUACGUGGGUUCUUGUCAUUUUCACGUCAUGAGACCCAUAUAUAAUAGUAGAGCCCAAAGAGGUCCCAGAUAAAUAAGUUAGCAUGUGCAAUGGAAAGACUUACGUGGUUUGACAUAUUGUUGAUGGAGAAAAAUACUGGUAUUCUCCAGCAUCUAGAUGAUAUCGUUAUAUAUGCGUGACGACGCUGCAUGCGUGUGGUGUGCAUGGCUGGGGGUUGCAUUGGUCUUUCCUGACUUGACUAACGACCCAUGACCAACAAUCCCCUCUCUAGCUACUUGUAUGACUCCGGCCGGUUCAGAGUCUCUCUACUAACCAAAAUUUAAAUAAAUUAUUAUUAUUUCGCACUGAGCAAUAUAACAGAACUAGGGAGCGUAGUAGUGAUUGACAAUAACAGAACUUCAGAGUCAUCUCAACCCCCACCGAUCGAGAUCUACGGGCCCCCGCUGCUGCCGCUCCUGUCCUGGACUCCUGGUGUAGUGUAGGUAGGUUCGAAUUCACCGCUAGCUGUAUUAAGUACACCCCUCUUUUCUUUAAAAAAAAGUGUAAUAAGAUGAACGGUCAAACACGAUGUCGGAAAGUAAAAAACGUCACUCUUUAAUUUUUGAGACGGAGGGAGAGUACUUUCGAAGGUGGAUCGACCACGGAACAUAUUAAAUGAACGAGUACGUAAAUUAAUUACAUCCGUACAUCAGUACAUGCAGUGUGCACGCAUUAUAUUUCAUCUUCAAAAGGCGUUGUUGAACAAACAAAUUACUUCAUCCGUCUCAAAAAACCGUUGUUGUUGACUUUUAGACAUCUUAUUUAACCGUUCGUCCUAUUAAAACUUUUUUAUAAAUAUCGUCUAUUUUGAUAUGACUUGUUUGAUCAAUAGAGGUACUUUAAUAAAGAUUUAUCUCAAUGUCGAUCCCUAAUGUGUGUUUGUCUCUCUCUCUCUCUAUAUACUCACUUUGUGUAUGUAUGUCUCUUCCACACGACAUAUAGCUAGCUAGGUCGCCAUCAGCCAUCGACGAUCGAUCGCCACACACCGUACCAAAAGGAAUGAUGACUGAGUGUUACUAUUAGCUGCAAAACCGAUCGAGCAGCAAGCUCGAUUCGUUCGCCAUCAUCAGGCCGGCCGUGUGAACGUGAUCACUUUCGCAAGCAAUGACCGCCAGCCGUGUUGCGUGUGAAUAGGUUAGCAGAUAUAUAUAGCAGCACCACGUCGCUGGUGAUCACCAUAAACUCAUGCAUGUUGUGUUAUUGAUGAGAAAGCACGAGUUUGUGUGGCGCGGCCCGAUGAGAGAUUUAAUUAAUUCUUGGUCCGAUCGAUGAGCGUGCUGGAAGGAUUCAAAAAUCAAGGCACGUUUCCAUCUCCAGACUUGACCUAGCUAGCUCAAUUGUAGUGUAUAUAGAUCAUUAUUAAGGGCGUAAAAUCAGAGUCGAAGAUAGUAUGACGUACCAAUCCUUGAUAUAAUAACGCACGCGCAUGCUGUGAUGGCCGGCCGUUUCCUGUAUAUACGGAUUGUAAAAAUAUUCAUUGUACAUACUUUACUAGAGCAUUCUUCCAACCAUAGCUAGUAUGUACUCCCUCCAUACUCAAAAUAAGUGAUGUUUUGAACAUGAUUAUUUUUACCAAGGAGUGAUUAGUAUAGGGUUAGUUUUUCGUCUUUGCCCUUAAUAAAUGUGGUUUUGGGUGAAUCUACAUCGAGAAACAACCAAGUGUUCAGAUGGAUAACAAAGGAAGUUUGGUCCCCGAAGCGUGAGGUCCUGUGUUUGACGCCUGUAAGGACCAUUUUUUUGCAGCAGAGAACAAGGGGAGCGCGUCGCAUGCGCGUGUUCACGGACGUUGCAAUUACUACGUUGCAUGGCAUCCAAGGGCAUAUGAGGAAAAACUACUAACGCUAAGUCCACAACGUCACUCUUUAUGAAAAUAGACCAUAGACCUCAAACGUCACUUAUUUUAGGUAUGGAGGAAGUAUAUAUAGACAAGGACUUAGACAUACCGUGAUGUAGGCAGUCUAGAGUUUUUUUAACCGUUGUCGGCACCCUUAACUAUAUUUUUUUUGUUUUUUUAACCUAGUCUAGAAAUUCGUCUCCGAGCAUGGCCUGCUGGGUUUAUCAGGGAGCACUAACCACUUGACUAGCCUGCUCGCUAAGCAGACUAGAGUUGUACAAGUGUAACGGUGUUCUUGUAUUGGGACAAAAUGCAACUUUACAUUUAAAACUUGUGUGGAUCCAUAAAUUGUACAUGAAGAGGCUAGAAAAAAAAGUCUUAAACUCUAUUAGCACACGCAGAGCAUAUGGGGCGGUAUACACACUCUCUAUUCUUCCUCGCCUCCUCUCUCUCUCUCUCUCUCUCUCUCUCAUCUUCGUCUUCCUCGCGCUAUCUUGUGGUUACACCUCACUCCACACGACUCUCAUUACGGCCUCAACUACCGCCCUCGACCAUCACCACCUCUAACUUGAGCUUUUCUCAAGAUCUGGCAUGAGCGCCUAGUCCUCUGUCAUUGGCUUGAUCACCGCCGCUGCUAGUCCAACAUCCUCCCUGAAAGCUCCUUGCAAGCUCAGAUAGUACAAAACCCCUGAAACCUAGAAUCCUAAUAUCACGACCAGCUUCAUCUCCAACAAUUGCAGUGGCGGCAAGUGAAUUUGCCUACAAUUUUUUUGUCUUCUAGUGCAUGCUCCAAAGUCGCUUGUUGUGCCUCAAUAGCAGAAUCAUUCUUCUCAUAUUCUAAGUGCAUAGCAAAAGCUAUAUAUUUAAAAAAGUUAAAAUAUUUUAUAAUUUAGAAUAAAGGAAGUAUAUAUAACAGUGCUCCUGCUAUUUUUUGAAAAAUAUUAAUAUAUUAUUUUAAUUAUGCAAUAAUGCUGGAUAUGUUUGUCUUCAUCUUUCGAUAUAUGAUGCUUGCUAAGAGCUCUAGCACGCAUCGUGGAGAAUGUUGAAACUAACCUAAUUAAGGAAACAAAGAGCCUGACAAGAAGGUCAAACGUGGAAGGUCGUUGCACGUGCAAAUUUGUUGCACCCAUGUCACCUGAUGAUGUCAUGACCUCAUUGGUUACGUUUGCAACGGCUGUAGACACAAGCAAAGCCAUUAGUUAACUUAAACCUGUUUAAUGAACUAGGACUAACAAGUAGUUCUGUUAACUUUUAUAUAUAGAUAAUGAACUAACAACCUGUAUAUAUUACAAACUGGAUUAAUAAUUAAUUUGCAUUUUACAUCUUUAUUAAGGUCUGGAAAAUUAAUCAACUAAUUGUUAGUCCUGUAGACCCAAACAAGACAAAAAAAAACUCUCCAUAGAUCCACGUAGGAUAAAUAAUAGUAUGGAUAUUUCUCUACCUACCUGAUUGUACGUGUAUCUUGUGCCGUACGUGGACACCCAAAAAUUUCUACAAUUUACUGAACUCAAAAUUUUUCUUGUAAUUUGUCGUGUGUUUCUAUGUGGGCCUGACUCUAUAUGUGAAGGAGCUAGAUUAGCUAUAGCAUACCAAUCAAAGUAUAUAUAUAUAUAUAUAUAUUGCAAAUGAAUUGGCGAUUAUAUUAGAAAUAACUAUUCGAGAUGAAAUGAUGAUCAAAAGUUCGAGAAAAUCCACGGCAAACUUCUGGCCCAACAUUUGAAGCGGGUCUCGAUCUGAGAGCUGGAGCCACAAGGCAUGAUGAGCACCGUACUAAUUGGGCACGGCUUUAAAAACGUUUGUGGUCUCGUGAUUAGUCAGAUUGAAGAAACCAUACAUGAAUGCUAAAGUCAGUGUCGAAAGAAAGAGGAGUCGUCCAUGGAUACAUCAAAGACUUUUUGCUUGGUGGACACGGUUUUGAAUUUGAAGUACCUGCGAGGUGACGCAAAAAAGGAUUCAGUUGUAAAUUAGAGAGGUGUCACUUCGGAGUUAGGUACGUCUAAACAGGCCCGCCGAACAUUCCUUUAGUUUAAGGUUUAUUUUUUUCAGAAUUUGACAAGCAUUCGCUCACUCGGAGCGGUCUCAGGGGACAUUGAUAGUUUCUAUCUACAUUAAUUACUUUGACAAUUCGGCAAUUUACUGAUAUGGCAACACUUUUAUUAUUAAGAGAUAAGAAAAAAAAACAGAGAAACUAUUUCCUCCCUAAGAAAUCGAGUCGUCUCUUGAACUGAUGCGCAAAGAAACGAUGGCAUGCAUGAGCGAUGGGGAGACUCAGCUCGUUUCUUCCUCCACUCGCUCGGAUUCUAUCGACUAAAUAUGGUCGGCAGUCUACUUAGGGUAUACUCAAGAUAGUAGUGGAAACUAAACCUAGUCGAUUACAAUUGCCAUAGAUAGUUCGAUAUCAAUUCCUAUUGUAACCGACUAGAUCUUACUUGAUCUCCACUACCUUUCUUGCGUGGAACUCCGAGCAGAUCGAUCAAGCCACGAAUCAUCUUAUAAUGGGCCAAUCCUUUCGGCCCAAACCUAGCCGUAAGGGUAUAGGGGUUUAUAUACCCACGGAUCUCCUAUGGUUGUGCAGGCUCAACAUGAACUCACUAGUUCUGCCUCGCUGCUCCCAUCCUCCUGCGCGCCACCACUCAACACUCGCCUUGCACUCGAUGGUUUUGUGCACAAAAGAUCCGGAGAGGAAAGAGAGGAUCGCGGUGAAUGAUCGGUCAUUUUGUGAAAAUUUUACAUUGGGAAAAGUAGUUUCCUGGUACAGUGUCCCAUGAUGUAGAAAUUGCUACUAGUUUCUUCCAUUGGACUGCCCUCACAAUAGUGUAUAAGCAAAAUAUCUUUCUUGCAGUUUUGUUAUGGCAUAGUGUCAAAUUUAUUUAAAGAGAUUCGUCAGAAUAGCAACUUUAAGAUUCAUCCAACGUCAUACGUGCGUAGUAGUACACUAUCACACCAAUGAUUUUUAGACGCGGUCACACAAAGUCAAGUUUUAGCUAGAUGCGGUUUUUGAAAUGUGGCUUUUCAAAGGGCAGUUCUACUAAGUCAACCACCCCAGACAUCUAGUUGACUUCAAAGUUAACCGCUGUGAUUUUUUAAUCACCUUUAAAACAUUUUCAGGGUCGUCGUUUUACAUAAAACAAUAGGAGGUAACUAUAAAAAAGUUAUUUGUGUAGUGGUGGCAUAUAUAACAAUUCUUUUUGGUACAAAUGUAAUGAUUUAUGUUAAAGAUGUAUAUGUUUCUAUUGACAAUAAUAAUUGGUAUUAUUUCACCCUUAAUAUCAUAGGCGGAUACAGAGGUAUUCCUGGUAUUUCUAGGAAUACCCAACUUUUUUAUGCACCAAGUAUAUAUAGAUAUAUUUAUACAUAUGUAUAUUUAAUAUAUUAGCAUUUCUAUAUUAAGGAGCUAAUAAAUUUCUCUCUCAUUUUUUUAGUAUAUACUUGUAUUCCUUUUUUCCACACAGGUUCUAUAUUAGUUUGAUUGUCAAAAUUAUUCUACUUUGUUAUUUCUGCAAAUUAGAACCUAAUUAUUUAUCUCCAGACCACAUACAUAUUGACUCAUGCUGCUAAAUAUCGGUUAAAUCAUAUCUUGCUUUCAAACUCUUUUUCAAGAUAAAUCGGAAUAUACACAUAGCAACAUGUACAAUAAAGUAUUCUUUCAUGUGAGUGAACGAAAUAUGAGUGAGAGGCAAUUCCGUAAUCCCCAUUUGUAACACCCAAAGUUUGAAUUUCAUUUAAUAGGGUUUAAUUUGAUUUAUUUAAGUAUUUUUGUGGGCAUAUAAAUCUAGCAACUAAAUAAUUUUGUGGGAAUUAAAAAUUCAUCAUAGGUUUAGCAACCCUGAUUGUGCAUUCAUGCUGGAGCAUCUUUAUUUAUUUGUGCUGCUGACAUUGGUUGGAAUUUAUUUGCUCUCAAAAUCCUAUUUAAAGAGGCUUUGGAAAAUAAAGAAAAGAAAAGAAACAGCCGGACUCGGCUUGGUGGCCAACUGGCCGUGAGGCCCAACCAAACCCCCCACCCCGGCCCAGUUUCCCCCCCUGCAGCCGAGCCUCCCCCCUGGUUCCCUUUUCUCUCAGUUCGGCCCAGCUUGCGGCCCAGGGCGUGCUUUCUCUCCUCUCUCUCUCUGUUUGGAUGACGAGCGGGCCCCGUUUCUUCUCUCACCGCCAGCCGGUUCCCGCGCGUCAGCUCCCUCUCUUCCACCUUCCUUUCUCUUGUUCGUAACCGAGUAGGAAAACCGCACCGAAUCAAUCCCGUGAUACUAGGGAUUGAUCGUUCUCCGUGCGCCGUGAGCCCCCUAUAAAGGUCUUAGACCUCGGCCGCACUCCGUUGCUUCAAACGCACCGCGAAACCAAGCCCUAGACACACCAGCAAACUCGGUCGAGAUCCAGCUUAGGCCGAAGCCGCUCCGCCGCGUCGUGUGAGCUCUCGGUUCGUUUCCUGGCCGAAUCGAACCCCGUGGUGAGCUCGCCUCUCUCUCCUCUUUCUUCCCGUAUGCUCGGCUUGAGUUUUGGUGCUCGGAAACGAGAAGUCGGACGACGCCAGUGAGCUCCGGCUCUCUGGCCAUGGCGCCGCCACGCUGGGGCGCAGGGAGAUGGCCAGCCCGCCGCCGAAGCCUCCUGGAAGAGAUCUCGGCCGUCGGAUCGAUCGCGGACGGUCGAGAUUAGAAGAUACUCUUUCGCCUGGAGAUCUUUCUAAAGAGUCCCUGAGCUUUUCUCUAAAUGAACCCGCGGUCCAUAGCGCUUUUCACAGUUUACGUUUUCAUUUUCUAAAAGCGCAUUUUCGUCGGUUUGAAUCAAUUUACGCUUUCCAGUAUUUACAGAAUUGCCAUUGAAAUUGUUUUGGUCAUAAAAUGCUCAUUUUAACUCCGUUUUUGUCCAUUCAAAUUUCGUUAGAUUCGUAUUCAUGAGCUCUACAUGUUAGAAGUAUUAGAUUACUGUUUUGAAACUUUUUAAUUCUGCAGUAGCAUUUAAUUAAUUAUUUCUCUAUAGGAAAUCUUAGAAAAUUUAUAUCUUCCACGUUUUAAUUCCGAUUUUCAUGAACUUUGCGUUUGUGUGAUCGUAGCGCUGCGUAGAAUAUUUUCAUAAACUUUUUAUAUUUGUUUUACCACUGUUUGGUGUAAUGUUCUAAUUAUAGCUUGUUUGCUUCGUGUAUGAUUGUCUAUAUUGGAUUGCGUGUUGUUGAUUGAUGAUCGAGUAUGGACGGUGAGCCGUACGUUGGUGAUCAAGACCAAGCCUUUGAAGACCAGCAGGCUCAGGAGAGCUUUGAUCAAGGCAAGUAUAACUUGGGAUCAUCCUUGUUACCUAUUCACUUAUAACUACACAUAUAUAUCAUAUGCAUGCUAUCACCUUGUCGACCUUAGCAAAAUCAUAGAUGAUUGUUACCUGGAUUCCUUGCUACCUACUUGACAUGCAUUUGUUGUAGAUGUGCUAGUGCUUGAUAUAAUCUAUGAUCUUGUAAGAUGAUUAAUAGCUAUGCAAUAAACAUAAAAGAAUGACAAAUAACUGUAUGAGAUCUUGUUUGUACGUGAUCACCCGGGAUAACAGUGCAACCAUGAGGGCUAUAAUGGCUCUGGCUUUAGCUCAGUAUGAAGACCUUUUCUAGCUUGUUACAGGUUACCCGAAAGGGCGGAGGGGCUGAACCGUUUUGGGUAUAGCGCGAGCCCCUGUCCCUAUGUGUAUAGGCUGCGCGUCAUUGUGCCAUUCGGAAGGGGUAUCUAUAUCUGCGCGCAAAGGAAACCUUGCAGCCCUAACAUGUUAGACGAACUUUUGAAAGGCUUCAUAGUGAUCCCUACCGACCUCCCUAGGAAGGGGGUUAAGAGACUAGCUACCUCGGGCGAAAGGGUAAAUCAUGACUCAUGGGUAAAGAUGUACAACCUCUACAGAGUGUAAAACUGGUAUACUAGCCGAGCUCACGGUCAGGAGCGGCCUUGGGGACAUCUACAUUAAGAUGAUGAGCUUAUUAUGUUAUUAUGUUCAUUUGAUUAUCGUUUAUGCUAUGAGAUUAAUUAUGCUUACACUUGAUCAUGUAAUUAAUGGAUUAUUUAUGCUACCUUGACAUUUGCUAUUUAAUUAUGAAUAUGCUAUCCACUAUUAAAAGCUAAAUGCAGUCAAACCAGUGUCAGCUAUUUGAGCCUCAUGAACCCCUGGUUAUACUUGUUGAUUACGAUAUGUGCUCACUCUUGCAAUUUCCCAGCACCCCAGGUUAUGCCAAUGAUGAUGACUGGAAUGAGGACUAUCGCUAUGAGUAUUAGGUUUGGUGUCAACCAGUCAAUAGUGUCCCCGUGUGGAGCUUCCGUCGAGAGCGUUGUUUACUUUAUGCUAUCAUCUUUGUAUGAGACUAUGUGAUUUAUUAUUGUUCCGCUAUGUAAUAAACACUGCAAUGGUACAUUCGAGAUUUGUCUACUUAUGUGUGCGACUAUUCCUGGGGCACAUACCCUAUGCCUACAUGGUGACCAGCGAGAGCGCACGUCGGUCAUGGUUAUUAGAGACAACAGUUGAGCGCACGGGCUACCAGACACCCAUAGGGGAAUACCCAAUGUUUAAAUUCUGGCUCCGCCACUACUUAAUAUCCAACACAAGUUCUUGGCAAAGGAUGAUAUUAUGCAAUAUCGGCUGGCUUGGGCUCCACGGCAUGAAGCGCCCGAAACUAGCUGAUUAGUGAUAGUUGUUGCUAGCAAAGUGGAGGCCUGCGGUGUGAUGUAAAUUUUUUGUACAGUUUUUUUUUCUUUUGCAUUGUUUAAUAAAACUAGCGGCAAAACUUUUGCAGUUCUUUCUUUAAAAAAAACUUUUACACGUUGGUGAAAAGAAGACGCAAGUGACCGCGCAGCGUAUAAAUAAUAUAUGAUCUUGGUGUGUGACACAUGUUAUACACCGGAUUAUCAAGUGUUUAAAGGGGGUAGCAUUCACGCUAAUUUUAGCCCGAUCGCAUGCAUAUACGCACACUCUCCGAGCAAUUUUACCAGAUCAUCAGAUUGCCUGAUGGCCAGGAUCGUUGCGUCGCAGACAAGUUGCCCGUUAGGUUUGAACUCCACUUUCUUAUGAAUAUAUAUACUUGCAGCAUGCAUACUAUAUUAUCUGAGUUUUUUAAAGUAAAAAGUGCCACUAGAUCUUGAUAUUGACAAAGUUAAUAUAGACGGUAUCCUUGUUAACAGGGUGUGUCAUCUAUCGCUAAAAGAAAAGCAUAAAAUGUUUCUAGAAAUAAACUUAAAAAAGGAUCCGUCUAGCCAGCACUAAGUUGUUUUGGGUCUCAAAAAUAGUUCAUUUUUGGACCAUGAUCUCCUUACCCAACGGCUCAUGGCUCUCACCCAAACCCAACGUCUUCUUGUUCCUAUAUAGGCAGACGCGUCACCACCAUUUCACCGCCACCCAUCGUGAUGUGGUAGGGUUUCAUCGGAGCUCUAGGGCCGACCUCCUUCUUCCACUCCCACCGUCACCGUCAUGGCCAUGAUCACUUCCGCCUCAACUUAGCCCGACCACCUCCGCCACCGCUGCCUGCUCCGGCGUCACGCCACCUUCACCUCGUUGCCAUCUCUCUUGUCCCCUCCAAAUAGCAUACGUGCCUUCUAAAUAUUUCUUCUAAGGCAGUUGGAGAUAGAGAAAAAGAGAGGGAGAGGAAGAGAAGAGACAAGAACCAAGUGUUCCGACAACACUUGAGUGGAAUGUAGCAUUUCUCUAAAAAAAAUAAACACCAUUAGGUCAAAGAACUUGAACGCUGAUAAGUGCUACUAAAAAUUGGAGUUCUACUUAGCCUUGGUGUUCAAAUGACCUCAAAAUUAAUUUAUUUUCAGUGCACCUUCUAGUUCAAAUGAUCCGAAAGGAUUGGUUUGCAGUGUUAAAUCUUCAAGGGCUACAAUGUACUAGGUUUUAUGGUUGAUAGUUUUACAUAGUAAACGCUCAAACAGUUACAUAGACUUUUUUUUUAAAAAAUCGAUGUUGAAUAAAACAUAGUAUGUUUGUCCAAAAGGAGUAGUAAAAUUCCACUGAUUGUAUGGCGUCGUUGCACCGCUUGUGGCUUGUAGAAAUCUUGUGAAACCGGAGAAAGUGUGCCUUUGUGCCAUUCUGUGUUUUGCUGUGAUGACUUAUAUAUGUCGGUGGAUGAUAGUGAUCAAAAUGCCACACCUUUUAUUUAAUGACAAAAUGCCAAAAUUCGGAAACCUUCCGCCAUGACAUUCGGUAGUAGGACAAGUGUUGUAUCAUUCAUAUCAUUAUUGUGUAUGUCCUACUUAGGGCUUGUUUAGUUUUUCUUGUUAAAUUUUAGUCAGCUAAAAUUAUUUUAGUGUCUCUUGGGUGACUAGUGAAACUAAAUUAUUUUAGUUUUUUAGUCAGUGUGUUUGAAAAUUUAGCUAUUAAAAUAACUAAAAUUUAGCUUGCUAAAAUUUAGUAAAGGGAACUGUUGGGAAGUAGCGCACUGCACUCCCCAGCAACACGGUGAAACGAGAACCUACUCACCCGGUGCCGUGAGAGGCUGAACGGUAAUGAACAGUGAACUCAACAGUAGGUGAAUACAAUGAAUGCUCUCUCCAUUAAUGACGGUAUCACACCCCUUAUAUAGGGCUCGGAAACCGACCUAAGACAAUUACAGAUAUGCCCCGUGACGGUGGGGGAAUAUUUCAGCAUAUUCUUACAUCACAGUCUACUGACCCUAAGUCACUUGUGUAAUUUCACACCACGAGCUCUCCACGCGCUCCUCGUCUGGGGCUUCAGACUGUCGAACGCUCGUAUCCUCCGCCCAGCAGCCGAUCCUUCGACACUUCUCCGUCGGAGGUUCCUUGGCUUGGCCACGCUGGAGGUUCCUCGGGCUGGCCACUCCGGAGGCUCCUCGGCUCAGAUGCGCCGGAGGUUUAUCUUCUCCGCCGCGUCCUUCGAACAUCCUUCGUCACAGGAAAGCUCGAAGGUUCCCUCCUUCUUCGCCUGCAGAUCUCCGCCGGUGUCCCAGUCCCUCCAUAUGCUCAACAUCACAAGAGGCAUGUCAACGUCAGUCUUUCUCAGGAUCCUCCGCAUGUAUCCGCACGGAUGUUCCUUGGGUGAAGGAUAGCCUUCGACGUUUCAUACGUCGGAGGUUCCUCGGGUGAAGGAUAUCCUUCGACGGUACCAGGGGAAAGGAUGCGACCAUUCCCCAACAGUUUCUCUCUUUUUAGGCUAAUGACACUCCUGCGGUUGAAAGGUCCAAAUGGCUAGAGGGGGGUGAAUAGCCUAUUUAAAAUUCUACAAACUUCAACUAGACAAGUUGAUUAGUAAAACAAAAGGCGAAGCUAUUCUAGCACUAGCACGACUAAGCUAUGCAAGCCACCUACACAAGUCUAGCAAGAAAGCUAAACACAAGUUACAACAAGAAAGCACAACUACAAACUUGCUACACUCCUAAACAAGCAACUAGCAAGAUAUACAAGAAAGUAAAGGAGUGGAGAACCAACGUUGUAGAGUAGAGAUAUAUCCAAUCAAUCACUCACAAUCACAAGAGAAUCAUCGGCAAGAGAUGACACAAGAUUUUUUACCGAGGUUCACUUGCUUCCCGGCAAGCUAGUCCUCGUUGUGGCGAUACACCCACUUGAUGGAUCACGAGCUAAUUGGCAAUCCAAAGCCAAACCCUCAGCGGGUGCCGCACAUCCACUCACAAGAUGGGGAUCCUCCAAGCCACGAGCAAUCCACUAGAGUAGCCAAUUGCGAUAUCCCGCGGGGAAGGCUCAAGAACCCCUCACAAAUCACUUGGUGAGGCUCGAAACAAUCUCCAAUCAUGAGCUCAACACCACCGCUGCUCCAAGCCGUCUAGGGCGUCGGGAAACACCCAAGAGUAACAAGAAAUCCGCAGCGAACUCAAGAAUCAAGUGCCACUAAAUGCAACUCUCAAAGCAAUGCACUUGAAUCUCACUCAAUCUCACUAGGAUGAGCAAUCAAGCAAGGAGAUGAGUGGAGAGAGUGUUCUCUAGCUCAAAGUAUGCCUCAAGUAAUCAAAUGUUCAAGAGAGAACCUCCCAAAGCCGGCCACCAACUAUUUAUAAGCCCCUCAAAGAAACUAGCCGUUGACUGUUUUCACUGGGCUGAAAACGGGGGCACCGGACGCUACUAAUGAGCACCGGACGCUCAUCCCCCAGCGUCCGGUGCACUGGGGUUAGCCACGUGUCCUUCUUGAGUCUCGCGUGUCAGAUUCUAAUGGCUACCUGCAACACACCGGACGCUCUGCAAGUCCACACCGGACGCAUCCGGUGCACACCGGACUCAUGCGCAGAGAGUUCCGCAAACGUGCGGGUCACCGGAGGCUAAGCACCGGAAGCGUCCGGUGUUCACUGGACCCAUGCGCAGAGAGGGUCGCAAAACACCCGCACACUGGAUGCACUCAGAGAGCGUCUGGUGCUCAACCCUAGCAGGGUCAAGCACAUCGGACUCUGAGGCCAGCGUCCGGUGCCUCUGCACUCAGCGUCCGGUGAGUGUUUCUCAGCGAAAAACACUCCCACGACUUCUCCAAAUUUCCCACCGGCACAAUAGAAAAUAUACACUUAUUUUUCUCAAAAGCGCCGAAAGUCACACCCCUCUCAACCCUAGGAACUCCACCUCCUUUGUAAAUGUGCUAACACCAACAAGUGUCCACCACCAAAGUCCAUGUGUGUUAGCUUUUCACAAACAUUUUCAUCAAAGGAGUUAGGUUAGCACUUUACUAGAUCCUAAUGCAUAUGCUCAAGAUGUAGACCUAGUAGCACUUGAUUCGAGAGAUGACCGUGAUUUCCCCUCUUGAUAGUCGGCUAUCUAUCCUAAACCCGGUCAAUCACUUCUCUACUCAUCUUAGACCGGCAAAAGUAAAAUCCUAUGUUUAUACCUUUGCCUUGAUAACUUUGCUCCUCGUCUAACACCAUGAUCUUCACUUCAUGCUUCAUCCCUUUGUGAUCAUGUGGCCACCUCUCCAUGCCACCAUGCACCUUCGUCACAUGUAUUGCUAUGCCUAACUCAAAUCACUUAAACACAAAGCAUUAGCAACUUGGUGUCAUUAAUUACCAAAACCAAACUUGGGCUUUCAAUCUCCCCCUUUUUGGUAAUUGAUGACAACCAUCACAAAGAUAUGAAAUGAAAUCAUAAUGAACUUGAAUUGCUUGUCCAAAGCAUUUUAAUCAAGAGACAAGGUUGGACAAGCAUUUCAAUUUUGGUUUUGGUAGUACUAGCUCCCCCUACAUAUGUGCUUCCAUGAGUUUGGUUCAAGUUUGCACAUAUGCAUGAAUUGGAAUUUUGGGAGAUUUAGUACUACCAAAAUGAUGCUAAGGUAUAUAGAAUGGACCUUUGAAGCGUGAUACCAAUCGGAGUUGCCAAUAUACCAUCCUUAGCACCAAUGUAGCUAGACAUUACCUCGUGAAAUCACAUUAUAUGUCUAGAUACCAUAUGAAAAUAAAACUCUAUGCUAGAAUUCAAAGCAUCAUUCAAGUUCUAUUUCUAGCAAGCACCAAUCAAACAAGAGUUGUGAAUUUUAAACUUGCAAUGCAACACCUCAUUAUGUUAAUGCACAUUCAAAUGCAACAAAUGGUUCAUGAGCUUGCUCCCCCUAUUUGUGUGCUCAAGUUUAAAGUUUUCUCUCCCUAUCUUUGUUUCUCUUCCCUCUUUUUGACUUUAUCUUUGUUUCUCUCCCCCUUUGUCAUCAAUGACCACAAAGGUUCAAAUUUUAGUGAGAAUUAAGUCAAGCAAUGUGAGGGUCAAAUUAUGGUUCAAUCUAGAUCACUUGCCUAAAACAUGUAAUUCGGUUUGAUCCAAGGACAAGCUUUUUCACACCUCAUGAAGUAUAAGGGUUAUCUUGACCAUGUUGAAUUACACAUCAUAAGCUUAUAUUCUAGAUUCAACACUAGGCUUGCAAGCUCAUAAAUAUGUCAUAUGCUACCACUAGAUCAAUCAAUCAUAGAAGCAAUAGUGGUACCAUACAUACAUCAAAUCAUUUUGUUUUUCAUGAAUGAGCCUAUUGUCAUGCAAACAUGUCUAUAUGUUCUAAUCAUGUCCUUAGCAAGAUAUGAAUGCCAUGUCAACCAACUUUACUUUGCUUUGUUGGAGGAGAGGCAUGUCAUAUGUAAACGUGGGGGUGCACUCAUCUCAAGUUGGAGAAGUCAAGUAUGUUCAAUUCAUUUCUUAACUUGCAAAAUCUCUUCUCAUCAAGUGGCUUUGUGAAGAUGUCGGCUAGUUGAUCUUCGGUGCCAAUGCUUUCAAUGCUAAUAUCACCCUUUUGUUGAUGGUCUCUUAUGAAAUGGUGCCUUAUGUCAAUGUGCUUGGUUCUUGAAUGUUGAACCGGAUUUUGUGUCAUCUUGAUUGCACUCUCAUUGUCACAUAGCAAAGGCACAUUCUUGAAUUUGAUUCCAAAGUCAUUCAAAGUAGCUUUCAUCCAAAUCAAUUGUGCACAACAACUACCGGCACUAAUAUAUUCGGCCUCGGCGGUUGAUAGUGCAACACUAUUUUGUUUCUUUGAUGACCAUGAAACUAGAGACCUUCCUAGCAAUUGACAAGUGCCACUUGUGCUCAUUCUAUAAAUCUUGCAUCCACCAUAAUCGGAGUCCGAAUAUCCAAUCAACUCAAACUUAGACCCCUUGGGAUACCAUAAUCCAACAUCAUGAGUGCCUUUAAGAUACCUCAAUAUCCUUUUGGUUUCCUUCAAGUGACUCUCCCUUGGUGAAGCUUGAUAUCUUGCACACUUGCACACACUAAACAUCACAUCCGGCCUUGAUGCAGUGACAUAGAGCAAACUUCCAAUCAUGGACCGGUAUAGCUUUUGAUCUACCAUGUUGCCACUUGCAUCACUACGUAAUUGAUCAUUUGUUCCCAUAGGUGUGCUCAUUGGUUUAGCUUCUUGCAACCCAAACUUCUUGAUCAUGUCCUUGAUGUACUUUCCUUGACUUACAAAAGUGUCAUUCUUCAUUUGAUUGAUUUGAAGUCCAAGGAAGUAACUAAGCUCUCCAAUCAUGGACAUCUCAAACUCAUUCGCCAUCAUUCUUCCAAACUCUUCACAAAAGUCUUGAUUGGUUGAUCCAAAGAUGAUAUCAUCAACAUAGAUUUACAACACAAACAAGUCCUUGCCUAGCUUCUUGGUGAAGAGGGUAGUGUCAACCUUUCCCAUCUUGAACCCUUUAGAGAGAAGGAAAUCUCUCAAUCUCUCAUACCAUGCUCUAGGUGCUUGCUUCAAACCAUACAAUGCCUUCUUGAGCUUGUACACAUGGUUGGGUUUCUUGUCAUCUUCAAAACCGGGAGGUUGUUCAACAUAAACCAACUCAUUGAUGUAUCCAUUGAGAAAUGCACUCUUCACAUCCAUUUGAUAGAGCUUGAUGUUGUGGGCACAAGCAUAGGCUAAUAAUAUUCUAAUUGCCUCCAAUCUUGCAACCGGUGCGUAUGUUUCUCCAAAGUCAAGACCUUCAACUUGAGUGUAACCUUGUGCUACUAAUCUUGCUUUGUUUCUCACAACUACACCAUCUUGAUCUUGCUUAUUUCUAAAGACCCACUUGGUACCAAUCACAUUGUAGUUCUUUGGCCUCUCAACAAGCUCCCACACUUGAUUUCUUGUGAAGUUGUUCAAUUCUUCAUGCAUGGCAUUUACCCAAUCGGAAUCCUUCAAUGCAUCUUCUAUCUUCUUUGGUUCCUCAAAUGAGACAAAUGAGUAGUGCUCACAAAAGGAUGCUAGCCUUGAUCUUGUUUGCACACCACUUUGAAUACCUCCAAUGACUUGAUCCAAUGGAUGAUCCCGUGCUAUACUUGUAGGUUGGAGUAUUGGGAGUUGAUUGCUUCCACUAGCUUGAUUUUGAUUUUGAUCAUCAUCUUGAGAGCCACUAGUACUUGCUUGAUUUGUAUCAAUUUGCACUUCUUGAUUGAUCAUGUGAAUGUUACCAUCAUCAUCAACUUGCCUUGGCCUUAUGUCACCUACAUCCAUGUUCUUCAUUGCAUUUGCCAAUUGAUCUCCUCUCACAUCAUCAAGAUUUUGAGCUUCACUUUGAGAUCCCUUGGUUUCAUCAAACUCAACAUCGUGGACUUCUUCUAAUGUGCCACUUGCCAAGUUCCAAACUCUAUAUGCCUUGCUUGUGGUGGAAUAACCAAGUAAGAACCCUUCAUCACAUUUCUUCUCAAAUUUGUUGACAAGCAGGAGGUGAUCCUUCUUCUGCUUCUUUGUCUGGAACUCCAUUGAGGACCCUCCAGCUAUUGGUAAGAUCAUCCCAAUCGUGGGCAGUGGUGUGUGGGGGCCGAUUUGAUUGUCAGGGUGGGGUUCUGGCUUUGAUGGAGGUGGAGCUUGGAUUAACUGGAGUUGGUUUGGGGGAGGAGGUAACGAGUGCUGGUGGGGCUGCGGGGUUUCGAUGUAUGUAAUUUGUGGGGGUCGUGGAGGUGCAUAGGUUGUUUGCAGGUUAUGUUCUGCGGGCUGCUGUGCUGGGCGCCAAGCUGGUAGGAAACUGGGAUAGUAAGCGGAGGCUAGUGCGUUGGGCUGAAUUGGAUCUGGGUGCUGCUGGCCCGAUCCUCCGGCAUAUGAGUGGUAGAAGGUCUGGGGGAAUGUGUGAUUCACCUCCCGAGGUUGAGCGACCGACGACGGAGGUUGUGGAGCUAACCUGCUCUUGAUCCUCUCCUGAGUUUCUUUUGCAUCCGGGCAAUCUCUGGUGGAGUGACCCUUCUCCUCUCCAUGGAAGAAACAAUAUUGCUUCCACGGCCGCUGCUUCUGAUUCUUUUGCCAUCCUGUGUUUCGACCUCCUCCUCCAGCUUGAUUGGGUCCGCGUUCCGAGUUUCGCGGUUCUGCCGGUGGACGGUUAUAUUCCGACUUGUCAUUCCUUGGUUGCUCAAUAUUCAUCAUCUGCCCACCAGCCUCUCGCUGUGGCCGGCGUUCAUCCUGGCUAAGGUUCUUCUGCGAGUUUCUGUCAUUGCCCUGCUUCUUCUAAGAGUUUUGGUCUUCCAACCUCUUGCGGUAGUCGUUGUCCGAUCUGCAAUACUUCUCAAACUCAUGGUACAGCUCGUGCUUGGAUGCUGGCUUUUCUCUGGCCAAGUGAGCUGCAAAGGGCCCUAUGCGAAGGCCUUUGAUGGCUGCCUCAAUGGCGACCUCCUCCGGCACGCCGGGUGCUCUCGCCUUAGUCUACACGAACCUUUGGAAGUAUUCCCUUAGUGCUUCUCCUUGACUCUGGCGACACUAGAAUAGGUACGUGGAGGUUAGUGACUCAACAGCGAAUCCUUGGAAAUUUGCCAAAAUAUUGUCACGAUGGUUCUCCCAUGAAUAGAUCGACCCGGGCCUGAGCAUCGAGUACCAUGCCAAGGCAUCUCCUUCGGCCGCGAUCACAAAGGAUUUCGCCAUUACAGUUUCAUUCCCUCUAGCUGAAGCCACAGCCGCCUCGAAACUCAUCAGAAAUUGGUGGGGGUCUAUCUUUCCGUUGAACUUGGGAGCGUGAUUGGCUUGUAGGUUGGCGGCCAGGGGGAGGUCUGCAAUCCUUCCGAUAGAGGGGAACGAAGGUCCAAUGUGCUCCGCAGCGUGCCACCGUAGCUUGUCGGCUGCACAUUUACCGUCGGACCGGCGCUGGGCAGCACAGUGGGCUGGAUCGUUGGCUGAGGUGGAGGUUGCAUGCUAAGGAUCUCUGCCUGCAAGAUUGAAAGCUGCUGCCUGAUCUCAGUUCCUUGCGCUGCUGCCAGCGCUGCCUCCUGGCUGGUGGCGUAGGCUGCAGCGAUCCGGUCUCGCUCUUGCUGAAGGUUCUACAGCUGCGCUUGCAGCAGUUGAAGCUCUUGCGCGGCUGUGGGUUGUGCCGGCCCCGCGGUGGGAGGAGGUUCCUGGCCGGCCUCUGGCUGCAUGUUUUUCGGCUGCUCGUCCUCAAAGCCUUCCUCCUCUACGGUCGCAUACGCACUCCGCACGGCCCUCCUCGACCUUCCUCUUCUGGAGGACUCCGCCCGAGGUCUUGUGGUGCUUGAUCUCUUUCCUGCCAUCGUAGUUGAUCCUCCGGCCCUACGGUGGGCGCCAAUGUUGGGAAGUAGCGCACCGCACUCCCCAGCAACACGGUGAAACGAGAACCUACUCACCCAGUGCCGUGAGAGGUUGAACGGUAAUGAACAGUGAACUCAACAGUAGGAGAAUACAAUGAAUGCUCUCUCCAUUAAUGACGGUAUCACACCCCUUAUAUAGGGCUCGGAAACCGACCUAAGACAAUUACAGAUAUGCCCCGUGACGGUGGAGGAAUAUUCCAGCAUAUUCUUACAUCACAGUCUACUGACCCUAAGUCACUUGUGUAAUUUCACACCACGAGCUCUCCACGCGCUCCUCGUCUGGGGCUUCAGACUGUCGAACGCUCAUAUCCUCCACCCAGCAGCCGAUCCUUCGACACUUCUCCGUCGGAGGUUCCUUGGCCUGGCCAUGCUGGAGGUUCAUCGGGCUGGCCACUCCGGAGGCUCCUCGGCUCAGAUGCGCCGGAGGUUUAUCUCCUCUGCCGCGUCCUUCGAACAUCCUUCGUCACAGGAAGGCUCGAAGGUUCCCUCCUUCUUCGCCUGCAGAUCUCCGCCGGUGUCCCAGUCCCUGCAUAUGCUCAACAUCACAAGAGGCAUGUCAACGCCAGUCUUUCUUAGGAUCCUCCGCAUGCAUCUGCAAGGAUGUUCCUUGGGUGAAGGAUAGCCUUCGACGCUUCAUACGUCGGAGGUUCCUCGAGUGAAGGAUAUCCUUCGACGCUACCAGGGGGAAGGAUGUGACCAUUCCCCAACAGGAACCAAACAGAUACCCUUAGAGCAUCUCCAAGAGAUUAGUCAAAAACAUUAGCUAAAUUUACCGAUUGAGCUAUUCUUUAAAAUAGAUUUGACAAAAAAAUUAUUAGAGUACUCCAACAGACUCUGUAAAGGAUAGCUAGUGAGAUAGACUAUCCAAAAGUAGAGAGCGAAUAAUGUGAGAUGGAGAGCUACUAAAUUUGAAGAAUCAUUGACAGAGUCUGUUGGAAACGUUUUUACUUCAACAAUAGCUAAAUUUACCUUUAGAAAAUAAUUUAGCGAAUCUCUUGAAGAUGCUCUUAGUGUAUGUCAUAAAGGUUGAGAUGGACCGUCGGAAUGUAGCGGGAAAGAGGAUUCUUGCCCAAUUAUUUAUUUUCUCCCUCUUCCCUCGAGUGAUGAAAGAUGAUCGACUGUACGGCAUGAGUACCCAUAUUGGAGACUCUCACAGAGAUAUAUAUAACGCGGCAAGAUAUGUCUUUUUAAUGAGUUAUAUAUCGCAUUGUUGCGUGUGUCUCUUAGGGUCACAUGUAAUGAACAAUGUCUCCCCCUCUUAAUUAACAUGGCGUCCGUUUUAGAAAGGAUAAAAUUCUAGCAUAGAGCUAAGUCAAACAAUCUAAUAUUUAACUAGUUUUGAAUAAUAAAAUGAUGCUAAAAUUUAUUUAUUAAAUUACAAAAUUUAUCAUCAAAUAUAUUUUUAUAGUAUAUCUACUAGGAGUCAUAUAUGUUCAUACUAUUUUCAACAAAUAUAGAUAAAUUUUAAGUAGUUUAUUUUUGACAAAACCUGGAAUUGUCUUUUUGCUCAGUCCACCUAUCUAUAUAUUCGAGAAAAAAAAAGGAACCCCUCGGAGCUCAUCAUAGAAGAUUCGUGUAGAAAAACAUCUCAUCAAUACGUUAACGUCAUUUAACGGACCAUCCAUUCUUUUUUUCUACAUUUAGCAAAUGGUCAUCGGAAGACUGUGUCGACCCCUCCAAAAGGACAACUGGACAAGAGAGAUAAAUGCAUAUACAAUCUCAUAUCUUAUGAGCGAUAUACAAGCUAGAGAGAUCAAUGAUUGAGCCACGUGUGCGAUCUUAAGUUUGGACAAAUCUAGCUUGUGAAUAAACAUGUACGUAGAGUGCUUGUGUGUCUAGCUGGCUCUCUGAAGUUUCUACCAAGUCUCUAGAACCCGAUUUCUAAUACCCCGAGACGACAUCUACUUGAAAUCUAAAUCUUCCUUGAACAAACUUUGAAUCUAUAUCUUUUAUAAAGAUAAACUCUACUAGCCAAUUAUCUUGUCAUGUAAAAUAUCCAUAUCAGCAUCCACUAAAAUAUUUCACUAGCAUAUUCAACUAUUUUACCAUGCAAAGUGUCUACAUCAACAUCUACUAAUAUAUCUAACAAACACAUGCCAUUAUGUCUUCAUUUAAGCUAUUCACAUUAGAAAAUCACAUAAUUUGCUAACAUAUAUUUAGUUUUCCACAUAAGAAUGCUAAAAAGCAUCCACUAACGUUAACAUGUAUUAUGAUAUUUAUUCAAGCAUAUUAGUAAAUAUAAGUAGUAUAGUUUUACCAGCAAUUCUCGUAGCAACAUACGAAGCAUUCUUCUAGUUUUUAACAUGUAUUGUGAUAUUUAUUCAAUCAUAUUAGUAAAUAUAAGUAGUAUAGUUUUACCACCGAUUCCCGUAGCAACGUAGGAGCAUUCUUCUAGUUUUUUUACUGCAACUGUCAUUUUUUUUGCAUCACUAUCCACACACAGCGGAGACAUGAGCAAGAGCCAAUGCAAGAGGACAGCAGAAGUCCUGGGCUUCUAGAUGAAGACGACGGUGGUUUGUGCAGGUGGUUGAGGUGCGGCGCCACAUGCAUGCAUGGUCGAUCGUCACACUCUCCAGAACGGAACGGGCUUUUGAAAAACGGGGCACCCAUUUCCCGUUGGGGCGGACAGAUUUCCCUUUCCAGCCGAUUCAUUCUAGCUGGCUUUUCUUGGCUUUUAAGUUUCAAUUUACAGCGAUUUUGUGGGUGGUUUUCUAUGCUGAAAUUGCUCCUGUUUUGUUACUCUGCAAGCUUCAAUUCCUAGAAUCCGUACCAGUCAAUUUUUUUUUAAAAAAAUUAACUAACUUUAUAGAAAAAAGCAUCAAUACUUUAACAUAAAAUUAGUAUCUUAUUAAAAUAUAUUCUAUGAUAAAUCUAAUGGUAAUAAUUCGAUACUAUAAAUCUUAGUUUUUUUUCUAAAAAUUCGGUCAAAGUGUAAAAAGUUUGAUUUAAGACAACUCUAGGAAUUGAAGCUUUUAAGGACAGAGAGAGUAUUAAGAAAACAGUUUUGUUGUGUGUGGCACCGACGAAUCUUAUUUUCACGCAGAAUUCGACCGACGUUGAUGGCCACCAUUAAAUUAAAUAAAUACUAUAGAUUACUCAUUUUCACGCGAAGAGUAAUUGAUAUAAGUGAUGUUUUCUUAUGAAUUAUUCCUAAGAUUUCUCGACUCCAUUAUUUUCUCCGAUCCUACGAUUCUAUGGGUUUUAAGUACAUUGGUCGUGGGUCGUGGGUGUAUGUUAUUACUUUUCACAUCAUGAGACCCAUAGUAGAGGCCAACGAGGUCCUAGAUAAGUGGUUAGCAUGUGCAAUGGAAAGACGUGGUUUCGCAUGAAAUACUUGUAUUCUUCUUCAUCUAGAUGAUGAUAUCAUUAUGUGUGACGACGCUGCAUGCGUGUGGUGUGGCUGAGUUUUUUUAGUUGGUCUCUUCCGUGACCCUGACUAACGACUUGUAUGAGAAAUUUGUUCCGGAGUCGUCUUUACCAAACAAUUUUAAAUAAAUAAUUUCACACUGAGCAAUAACAACAGAACUACUCCAUCCGUUCUAAAUUAUGUCUUAACUUUUUUUCAAAAAUUGAAAUAUUUUAAAUUUAACCAAAUUUGUAAACCAACUCAUCUAAAUCAAAUUUUAUAGUUGAAUUAUUAAAGGAUCGCAGCAGCUGCCUUUAUUUAGUCCUACAUCAAAUUUGUCCACCGCUGAACAAUCGUAGAAAAGGACCUCCAUCGGACAGGCACGAGGCAACUGGUCGAUCGUCACUUGUACUCCAAAUGAAACAGGAGGCCAGGUGGAUCGGAUCUCAUGCAUGUUCAAAAAUAGUGUUCGCUGAUUUAUUAGAGUAACUCCAAACUAAAUAAAUUUUAUUGUUUAGUUAUUUUAUAAAAUAAAAAAAAUUAAAAAGAAGUCCACAACAACCUUAUUAUUUUAUAAAAUCAGAUAGCCAAUGUCAAUGGUUGGUUAUAUAUAUAUAUAUAUAGCCACCGAAAUUCAAAGAUAGCAAAAUUUCUAUUUUACAAAACUAAAUAGCACAUCUGUUGGAGCCUACCUUUUAUUAUGUAAAUUCUAAAAUACCCUUCACAACAAAAACCGUCAAGGUUUUGAAGUUGCUCUAAAAUUGAUAAAUAACAAACAAAUUUCGCCAAUAAGCUAAAACGAACACGGCAAGCUGCCUGCCGCCCCCCUCCACGAUCGCACAUAGCUAUGGCCGCGCCAGCUGGGUAACCCUAGCUGUCGGGGGCUGCUAGAGUCCGGCCGUUCAGACCAAAGUCACCGUCCUCCCGUCUAAAAAUUUCUGCUCCCUACUGCAUGGGUGCAAACCCCUACAGAAACAAACUAAAACAACUCAUAACUACUAAACCGAGAAUCUAAAUAAAAUUCCGAUUACAAAAUUAUGUUUCUUAUAAUAAAUGCUUCAAAACAAGAUCUCACAUGAAUAUAUUUAGAUAAAUUUUAAUUACGAACAUUAAUUUUACAAAGAUAGAAUAUUUUUCUUUUAUUAGCCAGAGACAAUGUUCUAGAUUCAGAGAACAAUAUUCUGCCAUUGUAAAAUAAUGUUCUUUUUUUUAUAGAAUAGUAUUCUAGAUUUUAGGGUUAGAAAAUUAAUAUUGUAAUAUACAUAAAAAUAAGAACAUAACAUAAACAAAUAAUAUAAAAUCUAGAGUACAAUACAGGGGAAAUAUAAAAAAACACAUAAUAGAAAAAAAAAUUAAAAGAACAUCAUGUUGGGUUGCCAUGGCCCAUGGACAACAUUGCACAUCCUUUGUUCCGAAAAUUAAUUAGCAUAGGGCACACAUGCACGAACUAAAAAAAAGUCAUACUAACUACUAAACCAAAUAUUCAAAUUUAAUUCCGAUUACAUCAUCAUAUUUCUUGCAAUGAAUCAUUGAAAACAACAUUAGAUAUAUUAUAGAACAUCACAUAUAUAGCACAUGAAUAACACUAACUACAUUCUAGAACAUUACAUAUAUACUAAGUGGACAUCCCCAGAUAUUAUAGAACUUUGCAUAUAUAGUACGUGAACAACAGUAAAUACAUCGUAGAACAUCACAUGUAUAAUAAGUGAACAUCUCAAGAUAUAAUAAAUGAUGACCGAGAGUUAAUCUACCCUAAUAAUGCACCGAGUUUUUUUUUUCUACCUCCACACCAAAAAAGGUCCCCCGCUGAGGAGCCCUCUCUUUAUCCCAAAAAUACAACAUCUUCAAAAUGGACUGUCUAGAUUUAAUCUGAGCAUUCUCUCUCCUUACUCACUCAAAUCCAAGGGCCAAGAUUGCUUGUAUGAACCUCCUCAGCCUCUCCCACGGUCCCACCCGCCCCCACAAAAAACUCAAAGACACCUGCCGCCGCCGCUAAUCACGUGCUCGACCGCUCCAUCCAUCGCGCCUGACGCUGCUAAUCUCGAGGCUCGCCUUUGCCGCGGCAGCGAGCAAGCUUGGUGACGGUGGCCACCGUGCUCCCGCACAGCAGUCUCCUCCUCGUCACUGCCGCGGCGGCCAGCGUGCGAUCUGCCGUGGCGCUGUCUUCGUCGUGAUCUUGGAGGACGAAGGGCUCCUGCUGCUCACGGUACGCAAAAAUCUGCUAAUCACACCAUCGCCGAGCGAGACCAUUGCAGGUCAGGGAUCCACACGUUCGGUGGCCGGUGGAGUCUCAGGCAUCCACACGUUCGGCGGCCGGUGCGGCAGUGCAGAUCAGGUGCAUGCAGACCUCCACCUUUCUACCAUUGUCGCACAUUGUCGGUGCUGCUUGCUGCCCCUGUUCAUCUAUUGCAGUGCUUAGGCGUCUCUUCUUCAGAGUCAUUGCGUUUUGAUUCUACAAAUUUCAAACCAAAACGUUGGAGCCAUGUCUUGUCAAUUGGUGUUAAAAGGGGCAACUCAACGAUGUAACAAACAUAUAUACUCUAGUUACGUACAUAUACACAUAUUGCAAUGAGAUAUAUACAAUGCCAUAAAUAAGAAACAUGUAUGUCCACAGCUUGCAACGAAGAACAACUCAAGAGAGAGGAGAUGAAUAGUAAACAACGUGAGUACCGUGCUAGAAAAAGGGCUCAAGAAACGGACGAGGAACAGGAGGAGAUGAAUACGAGGCAACAUGAAUACUGUGCUCGCUGAAAGGCUGAAACAAGUGUACUUUCAUAUGCACCGGAUCAAUCAGGUGCAUGAUCUUCACUAUUCUUGCGUGGUAUAAGAAUAUGAUAUUUAUUUUUGUUCAUGGGUCCUUGCACUAUUUACUUCAACCGCGCUGAAAUAUCAACAGACUAUGACCGUUGGAGGAACGUAUUCAACUUAUAGGACACCUUCAUCAGCCAUAUAUAACUAUACUAAAUAUUAUUUUGAAUCAUUUCAAUCCCGCUAUGAAAUUGGCAAAUCCUAUAUGGAACGACAAAAUCUUUGUCUGGCGUCGUGAAUUCAAAAAAAAUCAUCCAAGAAGCUUAUUUUGAUUUUUUUAUCUUUCUUAUCAAAUAGUCAUUUGAUUUUAUCUAUAACAAGCAAACACUUUCUCUCUUCUUCUAUAGGAAAAUAGGAGACUUUCUUGUAUAUAAUUUCAUAAAGUCAUGGAAUGGUGAAAGACUGACGUUUAUCGACAUUGUAAGCUUAUAUAAUUUUCUAUGUAUAUCUUGUAGCCUAUGUAGAAAUUUAAUAAGUUAAUUUAUUUUAUAUCAUUCACAGAGGUCACAUUCACUGAGAACGGAAUUUACAGUGAAUAUUUUAAAGAGCAGCACAAAUAAAUAUACAGAUAAUAUCCUGGUGAACUCCAAAUUCCACUUCAAUAGAUAAAUUAGUUGAAAUAUAAGAGAUAUGAUUUUAUUGUGCCUUGUUAUACAUUAGCAUUCUCUAAAAUUGAAUGUGACUUAAACUAUCGAAAAAAUGGUUUUUGGUUCUUUUUAAGUUUUAGAAUAAAACCGUGGCGUGCCACGGGUAGUAUACCUGUUACCUGCAAAUUAAUUUAAAACCAAUUGAUCGAGCGGCAAGUUCUCGUUCGCCGUCCGUGUGAACGUGAUCACUUUCGAAAGAACCCGUUGCGUGUGAAUACGUUAGCAAUAACAGCUAGCACCAUGCACGUCGCUGGUUGUGUUGUUGAUGAAAAGCACGUAGGUUUAUUAUUUGUCGCGCGAAAUGCAUGGUCUGGCUAUUAAUUAAUUCCUGCAUCAUGAGAUAUAGAGAUUUGCAUGGUCCGAUGAGCGUGCUGCGGCGGAUUCAAAUCAAUGCACACGUUUCCAUCACGAGCCUGACCUAACUAGCUCAAUUGUGAUGUAGAUUAAGGCGUACAAUCAGGGUCCAAGAUCUUGUACGAAUUCCUUGAUAAACGCACGUGCACGUACGUUUUCCUGUAUACGGGCAAUAGUAUUGUACUUUCUUCGUAUAGGAUUUAGAUGUGACAAAGUUUAGGUCAAAUAUUGAGAAUAUAAAUCAUCAAUAACUCUUAAAUUGUUGAGUUUACAAAUUAAUAUGAAAACUAUAUGAAUAGAUUUGUUUUGAAAAUACUUUCACAAAAGUAUACAUAUAUCAUUUUUCCUAAAUAUUUUUGUAGAAAUAAGAUAUUAAAAUUAUGUUUUAGAGACCGUAUUACUGUCCUAAACGAUAUCUAAAUCAUAUAUAUACGAAGGGAGUACAUGCAUACUACUUGAGCAUUCUUCCAAACACAGUAGAGAGUAGAGACAGAGACUUGGACACAUACCGACAUACCGUGAUGUAGGCAGUCUAGGGUUGUACACGUGUACCGGUGUGCUUGUAUUGUAUAAGGACAGAAUGCAGCUGUACUUGAAGAGCCUAUAAAAAAAAUAAGUCUUAAACUCUACUACUAGGCACAUGCACAUGCGGAGUACACCCGGCGGCAUGCACAUUUUCUCUCUUCUUCCUCGCCUCCUCGACCCUCACCUAUGACCACCUAUCUCUCUACGUUAUCUUCAAUUCUUCUUCUUCCUCACACUCCUCGGUCAUCACCCUCAACUUGUCGACCACAACAACACCUAACGUGAGCUAGAUCUAGCAUGAGCAUGCACCUCCUGCCUCUCCACCGCCUCACAAGCUCCAAUUAAACAAGAAAAAUGUUUAACCUAUAAAGUAAUCAAAAUCUAUAAAUUUGCUUCUGAUCAUUUCUCCAUCUGAAGUCAUUUGAAUAUGAAUUUCAAAAUCAUUAAUCUUAAAAUAUAAUUUCAAAUGCAACUAUAAAGUAGUAGAUCUUUUCAAUUUCUACAGCUUUAAUUCAAAUCAUUUCUUUAUCUGGGGUCAUUUGAAAAAUUUAGAAAAAAAAUUAAAUUAUUUGUAGUGGUGGUUUAGAAAAAUACCAGUGUAAGUGCAUCUUUACUAGGAGUAGGUUUGGCUUCAUAGUCAUGGGCCCACAGUUUUAUUUCUAGUGCCAACAAAUAUCGAUAUGUACUAGUGGUUUUAAUUUCAAAUAUUCUACGAGAUUAUAUUUAAUACUCAUAUUAUUGAUAAGGUUUUUAUACAUGAAAUUUACUCUGAACUCGCCAUUGUUUUUAAGGAGGCAAAAGAACAUAUAUCAUCCAACAAACAUAUAUCAUCCAGCGUGUAAGUUAAUAUAUCAUCAAACGCAUAAUAAGUUAAUGUUCAAGACUCUUGUUACCAUACUAAGUCAUUCCACUCAACUAGCUUAAUUUCACUAAAGCCCUUCUAAAGAAGAGGAUGUUUGAUACUGCAUCUUCAUCAGGUUUCUUAAAGAUCACUCGGGAUUGCUCGCACAGGGAGAAAUUGAGGCAUCGGUGGCUUCUCCGAAGAACGAUACACGUUGUCGCACCUUUUCCAAAAAGACCCUUCUACUUUUAGAUAAUCAAUCCGUCAUCCAACAUGUCGUCUACAAACAGAGAUCCCGUCUGAGAUUUCUAUGUAUGGAACCCUAAUCUAAAUUUUAUUUGGACACGAAGAAGGAAAAGUUCAAUAGCCUCGCUGUUUUACAAAAAAAAACCCAUGAAAGCACUGCGGAGCGGACAGCCCAUGGCCAGCCCUACCGCAUCCUUCACUCCUUCGUCCCCAUCUGUUUCUCGAUCUCCCUCCUCUCUCCCUCCUUACCGCCGCUGCAGCCGCGCGCCUCCAUGCCCUCUCCUCCGUGCACCACCUCCAUGCCUCUCCCCUUUUUGCUUUGUCCUCGGUAUUAGCAGACCUUCUUCGCACGACGACUCGAUGAGGAGAGGGGAGAAAUCGAAGAGGAGGAGCCAUCCACGGAUACCACUCCCGAGGAACUCGCGCAUUCUUUGGAUCUAGGCGCCCACCGGAUAAAUCCAGCCUAUAUGACCAUUGUCCGCUGGUCUCCAGAAGGUACUCCCUAACACGAUGCUCGUGAUGCGCAGGCGGCGAGCUCCUGCAAGUAAGUGGGUAUGAGAUCGAGCUCCUUGAUUCGCCUUGUUCUAGAUUUCUGUUUUAUGUGUACGCUGGGAUCUGUGGCAGCUAGAUAUAAUUAGCGAUUUCCAUAUAUGAUGACAUAAUAUUUUGCAAUUUAUUUCACGCUGCUUCCUCUUUGGUUUGUUGUUGUUCUGGAUGGGGUCUCGUGCGUGCUCUUGAAUGGCACCUUGCAGAUUCAUCGUCGGGCGCCGGUGACAAACCUACGGAUGACGGGCAAGAAGACGUGCGACCGUACCAGUGAUUUUCAAGGUGCAACGGGCUUCAGCUUUCCUGUCCCCUAGCUGCUCCCACAAGCUGGUUGCUGUUGUGGUGCUUAGUUCCUUCUUCCUGAAAUAUGAAUUGCUUCUACGUGUUGGGGAGAUAAUAUGAACUGCAAAAUUAGUUUCAGAUUUAGUGAAUUUGUGCACCUAUGGAUGGCUAACUGCUUUAUUUAAAUUUUAGUAUAAUCAGACGAUGUGACUGAGUUGCUACUUGUAUCCAAAUUGCUUGCAAAUAUACUGUCAAUUAUCUUCUUUAGGUUGGGGUACUUGCUGAUCUGGAAAAGGCAUUAUGAUGGAUCAUAUGUUUGCAAUCCCUGUGAUAAUGGUGUUUAUUGAAGUUCUCUUUAUUUCAGAACUAGAUAGGUGGCGAUUUAAACUUCUCUGCUAUGUACUGUGCUGCAAGAGUGUGUGGCUUGGUGUAUUGUGCCUUCCCAAUGAGAGAUGGUGCUCUCUGAUGGUCAUCUUAAGACACUUUUCCAUGUAAAAAUGCUGACAAGUCAUGACCCUAGAAGUAUGGAAAUAGAACAUCGCUUUGUCUCAAAAACCAACAGACAUUGGAAAGUCCAUUUGUCAAGGCACUCAAUAUGAAGAAAAGCAUUACCAAGAACUGAAG